rnacentral:lncRNA from 1 species
CUGCAGUGACCAAAAAAGACAAGUUACACGUACAUAAAUGGGUAAAUUACAGCCACUAUUUCUAACCUUUUGUUGGAGUAAUUUUCAAAAGAAUGUCGUUUAGACAUUGGUAAAUUAAAUCAAGGAAAUACAAUUCAAAAAGCACUUGAUCAAGAUGUGACAAGAACGAGAGACGUAGGAACGGACGAAAACUUGAGCCAGUUUGCAAAGCAAACUAGUGCAGGUGGGCAACAUGGAAGUGCUCUUGUGCUUCCUGGUUCGCGCAGGUGCGCUACCAUGUUGUCCACCUGCACUAGUUUGCUUGGUUGGCGCAGAUACGCUGCUUGUGCUGGGCAGCCUUGAGAUUAAGCCAGCAGCUGUAAGAACUUACAUUUUUAGAGAACGUAAAUAGCAAAAAUGAAUAGGAAAGUUUCUGUGUAUUGAAGAUAAAAGUCUCGCUAAUUGUACGUUAUGUGGUCCUUAAAUAUGAAUGGAAAAAUGCAGCACUAAUUAUAGUUGUUUACAGCUGCACACUUUUUGAAAAUUUCAACUAAACUAUCUAAUUCUUCAGCUCACUUCCAUGUCAGCUUCUUCUGGUAAUCUCAACAGCCCCCUUCAAGGUGGAGUGUAUAUGUUGCACAUAUUCAUCUUGCACAGUAGAGAAUGAAACAGAGAUACUCCCACUGGUUUUGUCAUAAUAUCUGCUAGUUGAUUACCUAAAGAGACAUGCAUGGUGUGUAAAAUUCCAGCCUUAAUCUUGUCCCUUACUAAGUGACAAUCUAGUUCGAUAUGUUUUGUUAUCUCGUGAAAUAUAGGGUUGACAGCGAUGUGUAAUGCAGCUUGAUUAUCACAAUAUAACAAUGCAAGCUUCUUAUGUUUGAUUCCCAAGUCAGCUAGUAGGUAUAAAAGCCAUUGAACUUUGCAUGUAGCAAAUGCCAUAGCACGGUAUUUAGCUUCUACUGAAGAUCUGAAAACUAUACUUUGCUUAUUAGACUUCCAGGAUAUUAAAGCAUUUCCUAAAAAGGAACAAUAUCUAGUUAUAGACCUCCUUAAAUCAGGGCAACUUGCCCAAUCUGAAUAUGAAAAGAUUUUCAACCGUAAGUCAUUUUCUUUAGGGAAGAAAAUCCUCUGUCCUGGCAUGCUCUUGAUAUAUCUCAAUACCCUAUAAGUUGCAUUCAAAUGAGGUUUCCUUGGUUGGUUUAUAAACUGACUUAACACUUGAACCACAUAACUCAAAUCAGGCCUAGUAAUGGUUAAGUAUAAUAACCGUCCCACCAGCCUCCUGUAGAUUGAUGCAUCAUUCAAUAAUUCUUCACUUUCUUUGUCCAGUUUAAUGUUCAACUCCAUUGGUGUGUUUGUUGGUUUAGCACCACUGAAGCCAACAUCUUCUAAAAUGUCUAUGGCAAAUAUUUUUUUACACAAAGAAAUUCCCAUCUUAGACCUAGCCACCUCCAGUCCUAGGAAAUAUUUCAAUGCCCCUAGAUCCUUUAUCUUGAAUUUCAUAUCAAGAGAAGCCUUCAAAUCAUUCAUGCCUUGCAAAUCAUUUCCUGUCAAGACAAUGUCAUCCACAUAUACUAGAAGAGCAACAAAAGAGCCAUUUCUAUUUCUGGUAAAGAGUGAAAAAUCUGAGAACUUAGUGAACCAUUGCCUUGAGGCUAGUUUUAAGCCGUAUAAAGACUUGUUCAGCCAGCAUACCAUAUUGUGCCCUUUGCCGAAUUUUCAUGUAUAUUUUCUCAUUCAAAUCACCGUGUAAAAAAGCAUUGUUGACAUCCAAUUGUAAGAGGUCCCAAUCUAUAGCAGCAGCUAUAGCUACCUUUAAGGAAAUCAUCGCUAAUUUGGAGACUUUGGAAGUCAAAUAUAAUGAAGAAGAUUUGUGAUUGAUUUUAUUGUGUUCAUUGUCCACUUCAUACAUGUCUUUUAGAGACACAAUUUUAUAUAAUUGUGAUAUUCUCACCAACGAAGAAAUCUAUGAUGUUCUAUAUUCAAAGGAGAAGAUGAAGUCUCUUGUUGCAUAUGAGAGUCUUUGAGAUGACUUCAUUGUUGAUGGUGGUCAUUCAAAGGAUAAGUCAAAAAUCUAACUUCAAAUUUUAUAAUUAUUACAAAAAAGGGGGGCACUAGAUAAAUGAUUGUUAUAAGUUGUAGAAUAAAUCAAAAUUGACUGCAAAUAAACAAUCAGAAAUUUUAGGAAAAACAAGUAUUGCAAAAAAAAUCCUAACAAUGAUGGAGAGCUUUUACUUAUGUCUAACUACAACUCCAAAUUUAACGAGGCUUGGAUUUUUUAUGCUGCUUGCACUUUUUAUAUGACUCCUAAUCGAGAUUUGUUUUCAACAUAUGAAGAAGUUUUAAAAGGUAUUGUAAUGAUGGGUAAUAAUACACAUUGUCGAAUUAAAAUAAAGAUGUUUGAUGGGAAGGUUAGAACACUUAAUGCAGUGAGGUGUGUUCUAGAUUUGAAUAAAAAUCUUAUCUCCUUAAGUACUCUUGAUUCAAAAGAGUACAGUUAUACUUUUGAAGGUGGAGUCCUGAAAGUUAGUAAAUCAGCAUGUGUUUUGUUAAAGGGAUAUAGAAAAUUCCAUUUAAAUAUCUUGCAGUGUUAUAUAGAAUUUUUGAGCAAUCAGCAUAUUUUAAGAACUCAGGUGGAUUUGGAGUUGGAUUCUAUAUUGUUGGAGCCUAAUUUUAGGCUUUUUUUUUUUUUUUAAGAAUACAUCUCAGUUGAAUUUAGAAGUUAUAGGUAAAUCCGCCUUACCACCAUCAUCGAUGGUGUCAUUGUAUUUAGUUGCUUGUAAUAAACCUAUCUUUGGCCAUAAUAUUUCACAUAGAUACAAUUCUAUUGAUUUAGUUGAUGGUUUGAAUGUGAUUAAAGGUGUUGAUUCUAGCCAAGAUCCUUCUUUUAAUGUAUUCAGUUGUAAUUCUAUUAUAGGGGCUUGUUUCAACCUUGUUUGGUGGUCAUUAGUUUACUUUCUCCUUUAAUUGAGGUAGUAGAGGUGGAGAAUGUUUCGGUUGAAUUUUUUUAUGGAGAAGUUCGUUUGUGUCCUUCAGUGAAUAUUUGAAGUUUUUUCCUUGUAGUGGAAUUUGUCUUCAAGUGGAGAAUUUUUUUCUUUUGAAGUUUUAUUCAUUGUAGUGGAAUUCGUGUCAAGAUAGAGAUUGUUAGAAUUUGGCUGUGACCCGAAUUCUUUGUUGAAGAUAAUUGAGAGUUCUAAUUAAAGUGCACAUUAGGAAAAAUUCUUUUUGGACUGUUUUGUGGAAUUCUAUUCAAGUUUACUUGGCAAAUUCUAGUUAAAGUUCUACUUGAAAGCCCAUUAUGAAUUGAAAUUUGUGUUAAACUUGAAUAGAAUAUUGUGAUGAAGAAAAUCAAGUUUUUGAAGUAAAGGACCUGAGAGUGGGAUCCACAGCACCACGACGCUACCUACUUUGUUUCACCUGGUGUGAUUUUUCUUUCUCUACUUCAGCCACAACUCUACUAUUAGGAUUUGAACGUGCCCCUAUUUAUUCCUUAUAUAUAGUUAGCUUUUCAUUAUGAUUUAGAAGAAGUUAGAAACAUUGUAAACACAAAUCUUUGUAUUAUUUUUUCAUAUUAUAAUAAAAUUUCCAUUCUCUACAAAUUAUUUUGGUCUUGUGAUUAAUUACUUCAUAUUGUGGCUACAAUCUCCUAUUUUCCCCGAUAGUUUGGUAUUGGAUUAAUCCGGUAUCAUCUUCGUUUGAUAACAAUAAGUCUAUCUCCAUGAGUGUCGAUGAUGGUUUAUCUCCAAAGUGUCUUGACUAGCUACUUAAGAUAUUCUUGAAAAUUAAGGAUAUGGGACACGUGGCGUAUUUACAUGUUGAUUUAUAUGAACACACGAGGAUAUAAAACUUGUAUAUGAAGUUUUUCGCUUAGCCAUAUAGGGUUGUUGGUUCAAAGCUUGUCUACCAUAUCGCUUUGGUUAAUAUUUGGUCUAUGCAUAGAGUUUGUGAUGUCUAUAUGAUAGAUUGUAAAACUAUCACUCAUUUUGGAAAUUGUAGAGAAUUGUUGAAAUAAUUUUCAAAAAAACGCCGUUUAGACAUUGGUAGUUUAAAUCAAGGAAAUACUUCAAGAAGCGUUGGAUCAAGAUAGGACAAGAACAAGAGAUGACAAAACGGACCAAAACUUGCACUAGUUUGCAACAUAAAUUAGCACAGGUACGCCCAAGGCUAGUGCACCUGCGCUAGUUGAGUAAUUGAAGCGUAGGUACUCUGCCUUGUUGAUGCAGGUGAACUGUUGGCUAGUGCACCCGUGCUGCCAAGCGACAACAAUGGUGUCUUUUCGUCCCUAACUGAUGUUUGAUGGUUAGAAUUCAAUUUUUUUCAGUUUGUAUUGAUGUAGUUCAAACUCUAAUAAUUAUCUUGAAGUGUUGUAACUCUUGGGAAGAUGUGUAAUAUAAUUUUAAUUCGUUUUUACUCUACCAUUUUCUACACUUUCUUGCAUCCAAAAUACCAACUUUAGUGCAUUCAUAUCUUCUUGAAUAUUGUUUGUAUUUAUCAUACUGCAGAUAUAAAGUGGAAAUUUUGAGUAGAUUUUCCACUGUUCGGGUUGUCUUCGUAAGAAAUCCCAAACAACACUAAAGGGCUUCAUUAUAUCCUAUAGACGUAUUUGCAUUCCGUGUGCAUCACAGAAUGGUGGAAACAAAUAACAUCUUAAGGAAAGAGAUAUUUGUUAUAUGCCUUGAAGCCGGUAUUGUUUUAAGUUCGAGUUUUUGCGAUAUUCCAACAUCUAGUUUCGUCUAAUCGUCAUCUCUAAACUGAUCUCACCAACACCUUUGAACCUCGUUUUCGUAAUCUACCUAUAUAAAUUCAACUAAUUCAAUCCGUCAAUUUGUUAAAAUCUGGAUGAUCGAAAACGUCUUACAGAUGUUUUAAAUUGACCAGCUUCCCUAGUUCUGCUGGAAUGGUCCCGUUAAACCUGUUACUCCCCAGGCCCCUGAAGGUUGAAUAGAUUUUUAAAAUUACAAUUAGAAUUCCGAGAAAAUAUAUCCACUAUCAAACAAAACAUUCAUGGUGUUUGCUUCUUUAUGUAGGAGUGACCAUAUGUAGAGAGAGAGAUCUAUGGGUCAAUUGAUAUAUGGACUUUGCUUGAUGUAUAUAAUUUUUGUACAUCAAGGUGUCCAUGCCUCUCACAUGGGGUGGGGUCCACACUUUUGUAGGCCCCACCCCAUGUGAGAGGCAUUGAUACCCUUAUGGACAAAAAUUAUGUAUACCCUUAUGGACAAAAAUUAUGUACAUCUAGAAUUUUCCUUGAUAUAUAGAUGGGGAGAUAGCUAGAUAAGAACUCACAAAUAUACGAGCGUGGUAAUGUUUCCCAGGAAUUUCGGUAUGGGUCCAGAUAGGCGGUUCACCAAAAGACACCUAUAUCACACAUACUUUUUCGAUAUAACAGAGGAUGUAGACAUUGCAUCAUUGCCAAAACUCAAUUAAAAGCUACAGGUAAAGCUCACAUGUACUCCAAUUUGGUUGCUCCCCAUUCCAUGGGUAUUGUACCAUUAAGGUAGUUGCCACUAAGAUCUCUGCAACCAACAGAUUCAGAGUGAGAUCAAUGUAGCCAAUAAAUUGUCUCAACCUUUUGAAGCAAAAAGCUGAGUAGAUUUAAUAAAUUGAAAAUAAACUUGGAACAUCUUGCUACAUUGUCUUGAGGUAGGGUAACUUUGCCAGUGAGGGCGGAAGGACACCUGCCAAAUCCUGUCCUUUUAGAAAUCUGUUUGUAAAGAAAAAGAGGCUAUCUUUAGCAUACUCUGAAUUGAAAAGUUUUCAUCUAAAUUUUACAAGUGCAACAAUUAAAGUUUCUUGACAGGUGAAAGAAACAAAGCCAAAAAAAAAAAAAAAAAAUCAUUCCGAAGGGAUUUUGAAAGAAACGAUACAAUAGAUUAAGCCCAUGUUUGGUGGGGAUUAUUUUUAGCAAAUUUUGAUAAAAGUUGAUGAAAUGUAUAGUUGAAAAGUUUUGGGUCUAUAAAAUAUGCAGCUAAAAUUAAUUGUUGAUUUUUAUUUAGAUUAAGAUCUAGAUUUUAGUCCUACCAAAUAGGGGCUAAAUGUAUAGUGUUUCAAGUAAAACAACUUGUUAGAGUGGCUUCUCGAGCACACUACAAACGUUAUACUAUUUCAUUUUCAACUCUAACUUAACAUCAAGAAUGUAACUUGAAACACUGACAUGGUGAAAUAAAGUUGCAUGCUUGACUGAAUGGAAAAAAAGAACUUCUUAUUUAUUUUUUAUUUUUUUAUGGUUAUAAUACUGACACAGCUUAUUCCUAUACAUAUUUUAAGUGCAAAUCCUGGUUAAAGAUGAUGAAGAUAGAGAGUCUAGCAAUAUAAAAUGAGUAAUGCUAUUUAGUACCAUUAGUGUUAUAAUACCAGUUUUGGUGGCACCAAUUGUCAUUAAAUGAGUCACUACCUUUUCAUUUAGCCCAUUGUAUUGUGACAUUUAAACUGGUCUUAGAUGACAUUAUUCAUAUGAAAUAAGUCAUAAAGGUCAAGUUUGAUUACUAGGCACCAUAAGUUCUAUUGAGGUUUAAGCAGGAAAAAAGUACAAUAAUUCCCACAUAAAAUACCAUUUUAAGAAUCAACAAACAGAUUUGCAACCAUUAUAUGGUAUUCCACGCCUCAAAAUCAGAUACUGAAAACCCCAUAUUUGGCUGCUUCAAGAUCAAUAGAAGCAGAAUAUAUUUUCUGUGAUUCUUGAUUCCUUGCAAUAUAAUAGCACAAAUGGCUAUUUCUAAAUCAGUUUCAAACUAAUGAUAAAGAUGAUAAGUUUUCAGCAAGAAAACCUACAUUGAUUUUACGUGGCACACACCACCAGGGAAAUUACAAUUGCAGAUGAUGGAAUUGGUGUACCAUUGUAUAUCUUCUCGUUUCGGUGUAUUCCAGUUUGAGUUAUUAUCACAAGGAUUCAGGUUGAAGUCCCAGUCCUUUUUGCCCAACUGAUCAGCUAUUUCACGAAGAGCAUUCUCUGCAAAAAUCAGAAUUCUAUUCUAAAAUAGAAAUGUGAUCGGAUUUCAUGUUGAUCAAAGUGAACUUUUAAGGAUAACCUGAAGUUUAAUGGAAGGCUAAAAAGUGUAGUACCUAAUGAGCUAAACACGUGAAUGGAAAGAAAGAAAUGGUUUACAUAAAAAAACGAUCCUUACUUUCCUCAUCAGGGAGAUAUCCACUCCGUGCAGAAAUAAUUGUUGCUUUGAAGAGAAGUAAUAUCGUCAAGGUGAACAUAAAGAUGAGAAUAGCUUUAGACAUCUUUGCGCCUCAGUUUAAUAUUCAUCAGGCCGAAACAAGUACAUGUAUAUAUAUGAGAGAGAGGAGAUUAGAACUUCGGUUAACGACUUUAGCAUUCGAUGAGAUGUUAAACAAGGUGGGACCUUCAAUGUCACGCCUGUGAUAACAUGGAACUAUGAUUGCAAUUAGUUCUUUAUUUUUUUUAAUUUAAAUAGAAGGGUAUAUUAGUCAUUUUAUAACUUUUUAUUGAGAAAAAUGAUGAAAAGAAUGUUUUCCACAGGAAAAGGUAAAGGUAGGGAUGAAAUGCGCCAAAAAGGGAAAUGUAGGGACGUUUUCCACAAAAAUCAUGAAAGGUAUGGACAUUUUGUGCUAAAUACCCUUUAUUUUACUUUCUUUCAUGAGAAGGCAUUUAAGACAGGACAUCAUAAAUAUUUUGUAUUUCCUCCCUAGCAAAAGAUAAACAUAAGUGCAUUAACUUUCUAGGUAGAUUGAAAGGACAACAAUGUAAAGUUAGGAAAUAGACAAUCAACAUAGGCCUCCUGAUCUGAUCACUAUCACAUCCAGCUCACAGUACAAUUGACUUCUCCUCAUUCCAUUUCAUUAGCAUUAAUCUCUUGUUCAAUACUUGUUCAUCUUUUGAACGAGUGAAUCUAAAAAUACCAGUAGAAAAAUUGUGAAAAAGAUAACUGCAUCAGCGUGGGGCUCAUUAGUAGAAUUUUGUAUCAGACUGUGCAAAGACUAGCUAGGUUGGUCAAUCACUAAGAAUUUUUCAUAAAUGCAUGUUCAAAUAUUACAAAGCUAUACUAUUAUGAAUCAAUUAAUGAUUCUUGAAUAAAUAUUUCUUUUCAAAUUGUAGAGAUAUUCACAAUAUUAAACACUAUUUUCCUAGAUUUCAUUGCGUUAUUGGAGUUUUGAUCAAAACAUUGACCAACUAGAUAAUACUUUGCAUGUCCAUUGACUCAACUUGAAGUGUUCUCAUAGCAAGCUCUCUCUCAAAGUCGCCCAUAAAAUCCAUGCUUUCUUAAAUUAUAUUUAUCGGCGCUAAUAUUUUUUUUGCAAGCGAUUGUGGCACAACACAUUGGAAAAAAUAGAGAUAUACAAAACUACUUCAACCAAUUAUCUUUGAUCAUCUAGUUGUUUUGCCUCUUAUUAGAUGUAAUAAAAUAAAUAGACCUGAGUGGUUCGUGGUCUCAGAAUGGAAGUUAUUAUUAUUGUUUUUACUUUAAAAUAGCAAUGAAGGUGUUUUAAGGCCAUUAUGUCUGCAUCUUCGUAAUCAAAUUGGUCUUGUGGGUAGUCCGUAUUCGUAUUAAAUCUAUUCUCAUUUUCAGGUGUUUCCAUUUUUUGCCAAUUUCUUGGGUAAAAUCUCCCACCUAUCUUAAAGAUAAAGAAAGCUUUCUUGGACACUUCUUACACUAAAAAUGAAGGACGAUCCAAUUUAUUAACUAUGAAGCACUAAUAUUUCUUCAAAGCAUAAAACAACUAAAAAAUUAGUAAAUAAUUAGUAAAAAUGAAUGAAAACCCGCUUCACGCUACUUGUUUUGAAUAAUCUCUGGUACAUAACUGAUAAAUUUACUAAAGAAGAAGUAUUUCAUCAAAUUUCAUCAUCUACUAACUUUAUCCUUAUUGAAUAUCUAACCAUAUAAUUGUUGUUCUUGUUAAUGUAUUCAAAAUGUGUUGGGUAAUUGCCUCAAAAGUCAAAAGUUGGAGGACUUCUAUUGCAAAUAAUAAAAGGUAAUAAUUGUAUGGAAGACUUAUAAUUAAAGUUGAGAACAGAAUCCUCGAAGAAUUUGGUUUCCAAUUUUACAACCGAUUUUGGAGUCUUGCACAUAAAGGAGUCCUUGUUUGAGUUGAAAUUAAACUCUUCUACUUAAUUAUCGAUCCUACAAAUAGUAGAUGUAUUUAUUAUUUUGGAGGUGUGGCCUGAGAGUUAAUCCGAGAGAUAAAUAUUGUGAGCCUAGCAUCUUGAGAGUUUUAUAUAAAGAGUAGAAAAGUGGGUAUGGCAAAGCUCAAGAUUAUUGUUCUUUGUAAUACUUGAGAAUUGGGUUGAUGAGUGAAAUUUUAUAUGGUUAUAACAAUUUUCAUAUAGUGAAAGGCUUUGACGGUCCAUUUAAUUUGUGCGUUAUAUUCUUCUUCUUCUUCUUCUUCUUUUGGCUAAUAUUUUCUUGAACAACAAUAGAUUCUGAGGGUAAAUAGAAACAAAGGAAAUUAGCGUAAAAUUCCUAACAAAAUGAAAUUUCCAUUUCCAUCAACAUCUCACCAUGUCAAUAGCAUGGUUGGCUAGUGAUACAAAUAGAUUAGUUAAUGACAGAUCCAAUCAAUUAAAUGGAUUUUGACAUUUUACCUAGGUAUUUAUUGUGGCGCAGAAAAAAAAAUUUCAUGUCAAUUUUAUCAAUGUUAUGCCCGCAAUAACAUGACCCGAACAUUUAUUUUACUUUCUUUCAUCAAAAGGCAUUUAAUACGGGACAUCAUAAAUAUUUUCUAUUUCCUCCCUGGCAAAAGAAAAACGUAAGUGCAUUAACUUUCUAGGUAGAUUGAGAAGCACCUUAACGGAAACUUGGGAAUUAGACAUUCAACAUUGGCCUCCUAAUCUGAAUAUUCAAAUAAAUAGCUUUUUCAUUAUCAUGUCUAUUCACCUCACGGUACAAUUGACUCCUCCUUAUUCCAUUUCAUCAACAUUAAUCUCUUGUUUUAUGCUUGUUCGUCUUCUUCUUCUAAAUGAGUGAACCUAAAAAAUAUCAGUAGAUAAAUUAUCAUUAUCAGAUAAAGAGAGCUGCAUGAGCAUGGGGCUAACUUGUACAAUUUUCUAUCAGACUGUCUGUAGUAACCUGAAAAUGAAAUCAGAGGAUUAGUAGAGACUUAGCAAAGAUUUGCUAGGUUAGUCCAUCACUAAGUCUUUUUCAUCUGCAUUUACAUUAAGAUAACAGAGAAAUUUAUAAAUGCAUGUUCAUAUAUUACAAAGCUAGACUAUUAUGAAUCAAUUGUUGAUUCUUGAAUAAAUAUUUCUUUUAAAAUUGUAGAGAUAUUUACAGUAUUAAACACCAUUUUCCUAGAUUUCGUUGCCUUAUUAGAGUUUUGAUCAAAACAUUGACAAACUAGAUAAUACUGUGCAUGUCCAUUGACUCAAUUUGAAGUAUUCUGAUUGCAAGCUCUCUCUCUAAGUCAGCCAUAAAAUCCGUACUUUCUUAAAUUAUAUCUAUCGGCACUAAUAUUUUUUUGCAAGUGAUCACGGCACAUCACAUUGUAAAAAAUAGAGAUAUACCAAAACUUCAACAGCCAACUAUCUUUGAUCAUCUAGUUGUUUUGCCUCUUAUAUUAGAUGUAAUAAAAUAAAUAGACCAGAGUGAUUCGUGGUCUCAGAAUGGAAGUUGUUACUACUACUACUUUAAAAUAGCACAGAAGGUAUUUUAUGGCCACUAUCUUUGCAUCCUCAUAAUCAAAUUGGUCUUGUGGAUAGUCCGUAUUGGUAUCAAAUCUAUUCCCAUGUUCUAGUGUUUCCAUUUUUUGCCAAUUUCUUUGGUAAAAUCUCCCAACUAUUUUUAAGAUAAAGAAAGCUUUCUUGGAUGCUUCUUGCACUAAAAAUGAAGGACGGUCCAAUAUAUUAACUACGAAGCACUAAUAUUUCUUCAAAGCAUAAAACAACUAAUGAUUAAUAAAAAUGAAUGAAAACCCACUUCGGGCUUCUUGUUUUCAAUAAUAUCUAGUACAUAACUGAAAAAUCUAUUAAAGAAGAAGUAUUUCGUCAAAUUUCUUCCUCGACUAACUUUAUCCUUAUUGAAUAUCUACCUAUAUAAUUGUUGUGCUUGUUAAUGUAUUCAAAAUGAAAUUUUCAUUUCCAUCAACAUUUCACCACAUCAAUAGCAUGGUUUGCUAGUGAUACAAAUAGAUUAGUAAACGACAGAUCGAGUCAAUUAAAUGGAUAUCGACAUUUUACCUAGGUAUUUAUUGUGGUGUAGCAAAAAAUUUUCAUGCCAAUUUUAUCAAUGUUAUGCCUACGAUAACAUGACCCGAACAUUUAUUUUACUUUCUUUCGUUAAAAGGCAUUUAAUACAAGACAUCAUAAAUAUUUUCUAUUUCCUCCCUGGCAAAAGAUAAACGUAAGUGCAUUAACUUUCUAGGUAGAUUGAGAAGGACCUUAAUGGAAUCUUGGGAAAUAGACCUUUAACAUUGACCUCCUAAUCUGAAUAUUCAAAUAAAUAGCUUUUUUCAUUAUCGUGUCUAUUCACCUCACGGUACAAUUGACUCCUCCUUAUUCCAUUUCAUCAGCAUUAAUCUCUUGUUUUAUGCUUGUUCGUCUUCUUGUGAACGAGUGAACCUAAAAAAUAUCAGUAGAUAAAUUAUCAUUAUCAGAUAAAGAUAACUCCAUAAGCAUGGGGCUAACCAGUAGAAUUUUCUAUUAAACUGUCUGUAGUAGACUGUCUGUAUUACCCUGAAAAUGAAAUCAGAGACUUCGCAAAGACUUGCAAGGUUAAAGCAUCACUAAGACUUUUUCAUCUGUAUUCACAUUCAGAUAAAUAGAGAAUUUCAUAAAUGCAUGUUCAAAUAUUACAAAGCUAGACUAUUAUGAAUCAAUUAUUGAUUCUUGAAUAAAUAUUUCUUUUCAAAUUGUAGAGAUAAUCACAAUAUUGAACACUAUUUUCCUAGAUUUCGUUGCCUUAUUGGAGUUUUGAUCAAAAUAUUCACCAACUAGAUAAUAUUGUGCAUGUCUAUUGACUCAAUUUGAUGUGUUUUGAUUGCAAGCUCUCUCUCAGUUGCCCAUAAAAUCCAUACUUUCUUAAAUUAUAUUUAUCGGGGCUAAUAUUAUUUUGCAAGUGAUUGUGGCACAACAAGUUGGAAAAAGUAGAGAUAUACCAAAACUACUCUAGCCAAUUAUCUUUGAUCAUCUAGUUGUUUCGCCUCUUACAUUAUAUGUAAUAAAAUAAAUAGACCAGAGUGGUUUGUGGUCUCAGAAUGAAACUUUUUUUUUUUUUUUUUUUACUUUAAAAUAAAUAGCACCGAAAGCAUUUUAUGGCCACUAUGUUUGCAUCCUCAUAAUCAAAGUGGUCUCAUGGGUAGUCCGUAUUGGUAUUAAAUCUAUUCCCAUGUUCUGGUGUUUCCAGUUUUUGCCAAUUUCUGGUAAAAUCUCCCACCUAUCUUAAAGAUAAAGAAAGUUUUCUUGGAUGCUUCUUGCACUAAAAAUGGACGGUCCAAUUUAUUAAACUAUGAAGCACUAAUAUUUCUUCAAAGCAUAAAACAAGUAAAAAAUUAGUAAAAAUGAAUGAAAACCUGCUUCGGGCUUCUUGUUUUCAGUAAUCUCUGGCACAUAACUGAUAAAUCUACUAAAGUAGCAUAUCAUCAAAUUUCUUCCUCUGCUAACUUUAUCCUUAUUGAAUAUCUAAUUAUAUUAUUGUUGUACUUGUUAAUGUAAUCAAAAUAAAAUUUCCACAGUCAACAUCUCACUACGUCAAUGGCAUGGUUUGCUAGUGAUACAAAUAAAUUUUCAUGUCAAUUUUAACAAUUUAUAGGCCUCAAAUCCCUAUUAGAAUUUUUUUCAGUUGUGCUAGCGCAUCUUGAGUUUAAACCUAUUAGGUUCCCAAACACCUGAGGUCAAGUUCCUCUCCUCUGCAAGAUAUUUAUAGACAAAAUGAAGUAUUCUAUUUAAUAUUUUAUUUUACUUUUAACAAGAAAGAACAGUAAAACUGUUUUAGAACGUGCGCAUAAGCUGUAAUUAGGACUCAUAAAGAUUUGUUAAGUAAGCCCGACUUCAAGAGGUAUUUUAAAUUCAACCUUAGUAAUUUGAUGCUCUACAUCAAUGUCUGAAUGAAGUUUGCAUUUGCAUGUGUUUGAUAUUGUUUAAAAGUUACUUUUCUAGUCAGCAAGUUUUUUAGCAAAAUAGAAAAUCACUUUUGACAAUAUAAGUAACGCAACAACAAAUUUAAUAAAAUCCAAGUAAUGUUAUAAAUGACACAAGUUGGCAGUACACAGGAAUCGGGGAAGGGUAUAGCCACCUUGACAGAAAAAUGUUUCGGCAAAAUAUGAUUGGAUGAAAGAGUUAACAAUGUUUCAGAAAGUCUAAUAAUAUGAUGUCAUGUAACCAUAUGUCAAGAAUUAUGUCAACCAUUAUGUUACUGUAGCAUGAUUCAUAGGAAAAUGGAUCAAAAGAGUCCUUUCUCGCUAGCAAUUGUCGUAUCUUUAUAGUUGACCGCAACAUAUUACUUUGCAUUUCUCAAUGUACGUGCCCUUGAAUAAAUGGACGGAAAGUACUAAGAAAGAGAAAUAAAUUCUAAUUCAUAAUUCAUUGAAGGUUGUCUGAGAAGGAAUCUCGAGCAGAUGUAGAGGAUAAGCCAGUUUCUGGUGCAUCAGACAAAUGAAUGAGGAUUGAGUUUUACUUGAAUUAAGUUUCAAGUAUUAGAACUUCUCUCUGACUGAUUGAAGAUUCACUAACGAAUUGAGCUGACUCCCUUCGCACCAUUAACUAGUUGAGUUGGCUACGGAUGAACUACAGGAGCUCGUCGAUCAAUCACAUGAGUCGGGUGGCGAGGCUAGACGAUUUGAAUUUCCUUCUUAAAAGGUCAACUUUAUUAUAAGGAAUAAUCCAAACCCUUAUAAGUUGGUUUAUAUAUCUUUAUUCGAUGUGUGACUUUAUCGCUUAACAUGCCGAGUAAGAUGGUCGAACCAAUCUUGAAAUCCAUGUACUCAUUUUUUUUAGCCUUAAUAGGAUUGAAUCGCUCAUUUGAGCUUAAUAGACUCUAAUAUCAUGUAAAGAUUUGGGAUUCCAUCUUAAAAUGUCACCAUUGUUAAGGAGAGUAGUUCAAAUCCUUAUAAGUUGGACUAUAUUUUUAUCUUUAUUUUAUGUGAAAUUUUAUCCCUUGACAUCUAGGCCUGCAAAAUAGCAAAUUGCUUAGUAAUUGAUAUCGACAUCUUACCUGUGUUUAUGGGCAUUGAGUUGGAAAGUUUUGAACUUUAGCUUGAGAAUAGACUACUCAAUUGAAGUGUUGUAAUCAGUAUUAAUAUUCCGUCGACUUUGAAUACAAUUUACAAUUUAUAACAUUCACAGAAGGUAAUAAGUAACCUUUUUAUAAUUUUACGUAAAGAAGAAAAUUUUGUUGAUAAAAUAAAUUUAUUUCCUCCAAAUCUCCAUUACCAGUUUGAACAAUUUCUUUUAUCUAUAUAUAUACACACGCGUGCGCAUGCAUGCAUGUGUCCAAGGGUGUACUGAAUGUAAUUAUGGUUGAUAAUUGUUGGGCUAUAAUGCCAUCACAUCCGUAAGUGGGGCGAUGAUAGUAUCAUGGGCUUGGCCCAUUUUCGGUAUUUGAUCCAUUACACGGUAUUUCAAACGUGGAGGCCCAAUACCCAUACCCAAUAUAUGGAAAAUCGCAUAUUGGAAGAGCAAUUUUAGUUGCCAAUUAAUGCUGAAGUCACUAAUUGCCCUCGACUGUUGAUCAUCAUCCAAAAUCAAUGGUGAUGGUGUAAAGUAUAAAUGGGAUCUUACUUUGUUACCCUAGUUCACUUGUACUCUGAUAUUUGUUGGUGUUUUCUGGAAUUCUCACUAAGUUUGGUUUGUUUCUUUUGUCUUCUUUCGAUCAUCUUUAACCUCUAGUUGGAUAGUUUCUCGUGGUUUUCUGAGUGAAAUUUGAGUUUCUAUGGUUGAUGGUGAGAGAAAGGUGCAGUUUCAAGUUCAAUACCUUCUGGUCCAUAAAAGAAGUGUCUUCUGAUCCACUAAGGGUUUAGGUUUGAGGUUUCUGGUUUGUAAACAAGGGUAUUCGAGAUGCCUUAGGUUGUGUCUUGAGUUGUAAUCUUUGAUAUAAACAUUUGUAUAGUUUGAUUCGAUUUUUGUUCUAAUAGUAACUUGAUCGAUUGGUAAGUUGAUUGAAUAGUAUUAGAUAAUCCCUCCUUAUCUUAAAAGAGAGAAUAUAAAGUUUACGAUUCAUUUUUGUCACAUAGAUUUUCACAUGAAACUGGUUUGAAACUCAUUUGACAGCAAUAAAUUAUUCCAUUCAAUCACACUUUAGCAUUUUUUUUCACAUGCUAUUUCACUGCAAUUAUUAAAAAAAAAAAAAAAAGGAAUUGCAGGCAAACAUAGAAAAAAAUUAUUAUAAAAUUUUUAAAUUAAAUUGAAAUAAUUAAAAUUAAAAAUAAAAAUUAUCUAAUUUAAAUUUAACAAAUCACGUUCUAUCAUAAAGAAUGUAUAAAUAUUAUUAUCAAUGAAAUAAAUAUGGCUUUAUUUCAGCAGUUCAAUUCUUACUAUAAAUAUGGCUUGUAUCUGAUCAAUGAAAUUAAUCAAUAAAAUAUGAAUUUCUUCUUCUAGUUACUUUCUCUCUCUUUUUCUUGGUUGAUUCUCUCCGGUUAAUCUUGCAAUUUAACAUUAAUGGCCCUCCUAAAUUCCCGGAAGUCUCCUCUGUGUUGGAGCUGGACGUCGUUUGAGUUUCUGGCUACCUCCGGUACUGGUAGCUCCGGCGGCUGCAUGAGGUCGCUUCAGCUGUAUUGCUCAGUUCUAAUGAUCAUGUGAUUGCCGUUUAUUAACAAAUUCUUGAAUUUUACUUUUUCUGAAUAGGGAAGGAAUGCUAUGAUUUUUCAAUUCACAGACAAUCAAAUGAAUGUGAUAUUAUAUGGUCUUCUGGGUUCGUGGGGAUAAGGAUCUUUUUAAUCAUUAAGUUUAUUUACGUGUUCAAGAAUGGUGUCUUUUUUUUCUUGGCAAAUCUUUCGUGGAAAUUGUUCUUCUUUCAGUCUUCAGUUGAUUUCGACUAUCUGAUCGUUGGCUUGUCUAAUCUAAAAGUCAUCCAAAGGCUGUCGCAGCAAUUUUUAGGGAAUUUACGAAGUGGUUCUGGAGACGAGAAAUGCCGGCGGAGUAGUAGAAAAGAGUUCAAGACGUAGUAUUGGAUAUAAUUUGAUAAUGCAAGAAGCUGCACCACUGCAAUCAAGUAAUUAUCUAGGAAUCAGAUGGAGAUCUCCUCGAAAAAUUAAAGAAAUUACAGUUGUUGGCAGUGGUCAAUUUGAUUAUUUUCUCCAAUGAACACUUGGAAGGGCCACUUACGCCAACUAAAAUUCCUACCCUAAUUAUAGGCUUCUGGGUUGUUGGGGACAAGGAUCUUUCUCAAUCAUUACUUUCCAGGAUGGUGUCCUAUGUUGUGGCAAAUCUUUCUGUGGAAAUUGUUUUUCUUCACUCUUGACUUGCUGCCAAUGGAGGAAAGUGGACUGUGCUAGGGGUAAAUCUGAUACGUGUUGGCUUUACCCGGUACAUUAUAACAUAUUCUGUUCAACUUGUUAAUCUCUUAAUAUUAUGCUUCGACUAAUUUUCCAUAUUGAUUUCAUAUUAGCUGCUGGCAAUGAUUGGAGAACAAUUUGAUCAUGGAGAUGAAAUCUGUGGAGCAGUGUUCAAUGUCGGAGGGAGGCAGGAAAAAAUUGCUUUAUGGACCAAGAAUGCUGCAAUGAAGCUGCUCAGGAAAUUUGUUUGAACAAAUAACUGAAGCUGUUCUUACUAGAUUUUGUGACAUGUAGUAGACCAUUUUCCUUUCCUUAAUUCUUAUGCGAGACUUGUUUCUCUGGGCAUUUUAUGGUUUGUUUUCGUGAUAUUAAUAAUGAAACUAUGCAUGUGACACUGGAUUUGAUGAAGAGUAGAGGGCGGUGACCACUCUCCUAAACUUUUAACAAUCUUUCUGAGUUUUUCUAUAUAUAUAGCUGUCAAAAAUGAUUUUUCGCUAUCACAAUUUAAGAACAUGCUGCUUUAUGCUAAUAAUUUCUUUAAAUUGUAAUACACGUGCUUAUGAGGAAGCAACGCACUGUGUAAUCAUUGAAGGGAUCCCCGUUUUAGAAAGGUUGCUGAAUUGAGCAUGUUUGUUGCAUAGUAUUAUGUGGAAUUGGGCACUAUAGUGAACAAUAUUUAGCUUAUUUACGUUCUCUAAAUUGUUUAGUACUAUCUAUUUGGAGCCUACAUUUUAGCCUUCACAAUUUCUUUCAUGUGUGUCAGACACAUUUUUCAAAAGUUGCAGCAAAUGUUGAAAAAAAAGGAAUGUGCAUGGAAACUCUUGCUAACAACAGCCGUAUUUUUGGAAGAAAUUUUUGCCAUGCAUUUAAUGCAAGGCAACUUUGUUGAAAAAUUGAUGGACAUGCAUUUAAUGAGGAAGGUGAGAAUUUUACUAUGAAUACGAGGCCAAAGCAGGAGCAAAAGAUAUGAGUGAAAAGAGAAGUGCAAGAAAAGUGUUGAGUGAGCAAAGCACAAAAGUGAGAAGCAGUUAGGCUUCAGUUUGUGCAGAAAUUAACGAGAGAAAAAUUUAUUGUGCAGAAAAUUAACGAGAGAAAAAUUGAGAGAUUGUCUUUACAUAGACAAAUAAAAUACAGAAAGUAUAUUUGUUGUAUUCAUUUUCUUCUCUUGUUGAUAUAGUAAAAGAAUUGGUGUGGGUUUGUGGACGUAGGCACGAUUGCUGAACCACGUAAAUUCUUGUGUCACUUGCACUUAUUAUUUUUUGCUACAUUUAUUUCUUCUCAGUUCAAAUUAUUUUGUGUCCCAUUGAUCCUGGCGGAAUUAGUAACGGUCUAAUUUCCUAACAACUGGUAUCAGAGCUCCAGAAUUUAAGUGGGAGGAAUGACAACAGACGAGAAGAUAUCCAAAAUCGAUAAGUUUGAUAGCACAAACUUUGGAUUUUGGAAGAUGCAAAUGGAGGACUAUUUGUACCAGAAGGACCUGUAUAAACCACUUCACGUAAAGCCGGAGGACAUGAUCGACGAGGAGUGGGAAUUACUUGAUCGAAAGGCCCUCGGCGCAAUAAGGCUGCCAUUAUCAAAAUCAGUCGCUUUCAACAUAAAAAAUGAGAAGACGACGGCAUCUCUCAUGGCGGCCCUGUCUAGCAUGUAUGAACAACCAUCUGCAGCAAACAAAGUCCAUUUAAUCAAAAAGCUAUUUACUAUGAAAAUGGCGGAAGGCGAAAGAUCUGGAGAACAUUUAAAUGUGUUCAAUGAAGUGACGGACCAGUUAAACACAGUCGAAAUCACAUUCAGUGAUGAGGUUCGAGCUUUAUUGAUUCUCGGGCAGCUGCUUGAGAGUUGGAAUGGCACAGUUACAGCAAUUAGUAGCUCUGUCGGAAAUUCCAAAUUGAAAUUUGAAGAUGUCGUGAGCAUAAUCCUAAUCAAGGAAAUACGAAGACAGUCGGAAGGUGUUUUCACUUCUGGAGCAGCUUUGAACGUGGAGAGCAGAGGCAGAAGUUCGAACAGAGGUAAAGGGCAUUACAGGAGCAAGUCAAGGUUUGGUAGAUCAAAAUCCAGAAAUCCAAAGAAUUCCAACAAAUCAAAAGUUGUUGAAUGUUGGAAUUGUGGCAAGAUCGGACACUACAAAAAUCAGUGUCAAGUUUCCAAGAAAGAAAAUGAAAACAAGACCGAGGCCAAUGUUGUAGCAGAAGAAUCAGAUGAUGCUUUGAUAUGCUCUUUGGACAGCAAAGCAGAAUACUGGGUAAUAAAUUCUGGAGCAUCUUUUCACGCUACAUCAAACAAAGAACUCUUUACGAGUUAUGAGCUGGGUAAUCUUGGAAAAGUGUAUCUUGGUGAUGAUCAACCUUGUGACGUAAUCGGCAGAGGUGAAGUACAAAUCAAACUUAAUGGAUCUGUAUGGAAAUUGAAGGAUGUCAGACAUAUUCCAGACUUGAGGAAGAACUUGAUAUCUGUGGGCCAACUAUCAAAUGAGGGUUAUGUCACAACCUUCAACGGUGAUAUUUGGAAGGUUUCCAGGGGUGCAAUGACCAUAGCACGAGGCAAGAAAAGUGGUACUCUUUACACCACGACGAGUGCUUGCAGAAUAAUUGCAGUUGCUGAUUCGAAUGAAGAUCCGAAUCUAUGGCACCAGAGAUUGGGCCAUAUGAGUCAGAAUGGACUCAAGUACAUGCAUGACAAAGGGAAACUACCAGGACUUCAAUCUAUUAAUGCAGACCUAUGUGAGAGUUGCAUUUUCGGGAAGCAGAGGCGAGUGAGUUUCAACAAGUGUGGCAGAACUUCGAAGUAGGAAAAGCUAAAGUUAGUCCGCAUAGAUGUCUGGGGACCAGUUGUAGUUCCGUCUAUUGGCGGAAAGUCUUAUUUUGUGACUUUCAUCGAUGAUCACUCCUGAAAAGUAUGGGUCUACUUCUUGAGACACAAAUCCGAAGUGUUCGAGAUGUUCAAGAAGUGGAAAGCUAUGGUGGAGAAUGAAACAAGUUUGCCAGUAAAGAAAUUGAGAUCAGAUAAUGGCAGUGAAUACGAACAUACUGAUUUCAAAAUGUUUUGUUACCAGAAUGGUAUCAAACUGGAAAGGACGUUGCUAGGAACACCGCAACAAAAUGGUGUGGCCAAACGAAUGAACCGGACGUUGACAGAGAGAGCCAGAAGCAUGCGGUUACAUACUGGCUUGCCUAAACAAUUUUGGGUUGAAGCUAUCAACACAGCAGCAUACUUAAUCAAUCGCGGGCCAUCAGUGCCUUUGGAGUAUAGGAUACCAGAGGAAGUAUGGAGCGGAAAAGAAAUAAAACUUUCUCAUUUGAAAGUUUUUGGUUGUGUCGCAUAUGUACAUAUUAGUGAUCAAACUAGGGGUAAGCUUGACCCCAAAUCACUAAAGUGUACCUUCAUUGGAUAUCGUGGAGAUGAGUUCGGGUAUCGCUUUUAGGAUGAUAAGAACAAAAAGGUCAUCAGAAGUCGGGAUGUCAUAUUCAAUGAAAGGGUGAUGUACAAGGACAGAGAUACAGCGUAGUCAAGUGACAUACAUGAUAAUCCAACAUAUGUUGAGUUGGAUGAUACUCCAAGUAGUAGUAUGUCAAAGCAGACAGAUGGAAGUCUUCAGCCAGAGGAAGCUGUUGCGGAGACUUUAACUCCAACCCCUAUUCCUAGAAGAUCUUCCCGACCACAUGUUCCAAAUAGAAAGUACAUAAAUUAUUUGUUACUUACUGAUGCCGGUGAACCUAAAUGCUAUGAUGAGGCAUGUCGGGGAGAUGAUGCAAUUAAGUGGGAGCUUGCAAUGAAAGAUGAGAUAACGUCUCUUAUCUCUAAUCAAACAUGGGAGCUAGUUGAGUUGCCUGCAGAAAAGAAAGCCAUACAAAAUAAAUGGGUCUAUCGAGUUAAGGAGGAACAUGACGGAUCAAAGCGAUACAAGGCGAGAUUGGUGGUCAAAGGUUUUCAACAGAAAGAAGGAAUUGACUACACAGAGAUUUAUUCUCCAGUAGUAAAGCUGAUAACAAUUCGAUUAGUAUUAAGUAUUGUUGCAGCAGAGGGGUUGCACUUAGAGCAGUUAGAUGUGAAAACUGCCUUUCUCCAUGGUGACUUAGAGGAGGAGAUAUAAAUGCAGCAACCAGAGGGUUUCUCAAUCAAAGAAAAAAAGAAGCUCGUGUGCAAAUUGAAGAAAAGUUUGUAUGGCUUAAAACAAGCUCCGAUACAGUGGUACAAGAAGUUUGACGGAUUUAUGCAGAAAAAUGGCUACUACAAGUGCAAUGCUGACCGUUGUUGCUAUUUUAAAAGGUUGGAGUCCAGCUACAUUAUUUUGCUACUUUAUGUUGAUGACAUGUUAAUAGCGGGACCAGACAUGAACGAAAUCCAAAAAUUAAAGAAGCAACUGUCAGCAGAAUUCGAAAUGAAGGACUUGGGUCCAGCUAAACAAAUUCUAGGGAUGAGAAUUUGUAGGGACAAGCAAAAAAGCACUUUGAAGUUAUCCCAAGCCAAGUACAUUAGUCAAGUUUUGCAGAGGUUCAACAUGAACAAUGCAAAGGCAGUUAGCACGCCAUUGGCUAAUCACUUCCGUCUAUCAAACGACCAAUCUCCGAAAACAGAAGACAAAGAAACUUCAUGGCUAAUAUUCCAUACGCCUCAAUCAUUGGAAGUUUAAUGUAUGCCAUGGUCUGUACAAGACCAGAUAUUGCUCAUGCAGUGGGAGUUGUGAGCAGAUUCAUGACGAAUCCAGGAAAACAGCAUUGGGAAGCAGUGAAGUGGAUAUUGAGAUAUCUACAGGGUACUAUUGAUAAAUGUUUGUGUUUUAAAAGAGGUGAGUUGGCACUACAAGGUUUUGUAGAUGCAGAUUUUGCUGGCGAGGUCGAUCACAGGAAAAGCACCACCGGUUAUGUAUUCACAGUUGGUACUACUGCAGUGAGUUGGGUUUCGCAAAAACAAAAAAUUUUUGCUUUAUCCACUACAUAAGCAGAGUACGUGGCAGUAACCGAAGCUAGCAAAGAAAUGAUUUGGUUACAAGGUCUGUUGACAGAAUUUGGUCUCAAGCAAGAAAAGAAUGUUUUGUACAGUGACAGUCAGAGUGCUAUACAUCUGGCAAAGAAUGUAGCAUUUCAUAUCACUUCAUCAGAUUUCUCUUAGAGGAUGGAGUAUUAACACUGGAAAAGAUCCAGGGCAGUAGAAACCCAGCUGACAUGUUAACCAAGACGGUAACUACGGAAAAACUGGAGUUGUGUUCAGCUUCAGUUGGCCUUCUAAAAUGAAGACGAGGAAGGUGAUCCACACCAAUUUUACUAAAAAGGAACUGCUCGCAGGAUGUCUCAAGGUGAAGCCACAUUAGUCUCCAAGUGGGAGAUUGUUGAAAUUUUGGAGCCUACAUUUUAGGCUUCACAAUUUCUUUCAUGUGUGUCAGACACAUUUUUCAAAAGUUGUAGCAAAUGUUGAAAAAAAAGGAAUGUGCAUGGAAACUCUUGCUAACAACAGCCGUAUUUUUGGAAGAAAUUUUUGCCAUGCAUUUAAUGCAAGGCAACUUUGUUGAAAAAUUGAUGGACAUGCAUUUAAUGAGGAAGGUGAGAAUUUUACUAUAAAUACGAGGUCAAAGCAGAAGCAAAAGAUAUGAGUGAAAAGAGAAGUGCAAGAAAAGUGUUGAGUGAAAACACGAGAGUGAGCAAAGCACAAAAGUGAGAAGCAGUUAGGCUUCAGUUUGUGCAGAAAAUUAACGAGAGAAAAAUUGAGAGAUUGUCUUUGUAUAGGCAAAUAAAAUACAGAGAGUAUAUUUGUUAUAUCCAUUUUCUUCUCUUGUUGAUAUAGUAAAAGAAUUGGUGUGGGUUUGUGGACGUAGGCACGAUUGCCGAACCACAUAAAUUCUUGUGUCAUUUGCACUUAUUAUUUUUUGCUACAUUUAUUUCUUCUCAGUUCAAAUUAUUUUGUGUCCCACUGAUCCUGGCGGAAUUAGUAACGGUCUAAUUUCCUAACAGCCUAAAUGUUCUUGCACUAGAAAAACAUCUCAGUUCUUUGUGACGAUCUCUUGAACUUUAUUGACUUUCUUGCGAAGAAAAAUUCUGGAAGGCAUUCGUUAUUAAAAACCAAUGCCUACCAGUGUGAAACGGUUGUUCUGAUUUUGACUGCAUCCUUCGGCCUUUGACAUUGGCGGCUGAGUAGUGACUACUGACUAAUCUACCAGAGCAUGAAUCUGAAUGGAUUACCGACUAAAACAAGUAUUUAAGGAAUUGAUUUUACUCUUGCUUUUUUGGGUAUCUCCGCAAACUUUGCUUUCUUAUGCCUCUAUCUCUACUUCCUGUCUUAGGAGGCUUUUUUACGAUUUUUUAUUUUUAUUUUUUGCAGCUGAUCAUUGAAAGACAAUGGAAGGAGUUUCUAGAUUAUAAUGACACAAUUGGGGUUCAUAUUUCAUGUAAGGAUUCCCCUUUUUUCACAUGGCCUGAUUUUUUUGCUUUGUUUGAUGAAUCUAUAAAUCAUUUAUAAAGCGGUUGAACUUCAUCUUCAACCACAUUCCAAUGGUCCACAAGUAUCCAUUUAUUCACCACUCAUUCCUAUCUAUUUAUAAAUUAAACUGUUUAUAAAUUCUUUCCAAACGGAGGAAUAGAUUACAAGCUGAUGAAGCGCAUUUGAAGUGUUGUGAAAAUUGCAUGGGUUACCCCUUCCCUUCCUAAGUCCUAACCCAACCCAACCCAGCCCGUCAAUCCCUCACUCCGCAUCUUCCUCCACCAUCCCCAGCCUGUCCUCCCAUCUUUCUCUACUGUCAAUAAAAUUUCUCUGUGUGCACGUAUGAGGAGGAAAGGGAAAAGGGGAAAAAAUAGUCAUUUCUUGGACAUUCCUUUUAAUUAUCACCAGUUUACUUAUAGAGAGCUGAAAUACAUGGUGCUUGUGAACUGGUAUGUUAAGUGUGAGUACAGUUUAAGUGAUUGAAUAAUAGUAUGGUGAAUGAAAUUGGAGGCAAGCAUUCAUGAUUUUCUUUUAAAAGUGGUUGUGCCAAAUAGAAUAUGUAAUUUUGAAUCUCAUAUGUAUGUAGAAAUUCAAAUAUGAAUUAUUCUUCAACAUUAAAAAUGAUAUUUACUCAUAUUUAAUAUCUUUUGGUAAUUUAUUUUAUUUAUAGCUUAUAAGGAUAUAUCUUCAUGUUUAUCAGCAUAUUAAUUCAUAUCCAAAAACUGUUUUUUAGUCAAGAAAGCUCCUACUGCAUGUAAGCACUAAAAUGUGUUCAUUAUCACCUAUUUAAUUUAGCUUAAUCCAAACAAUACCUUACCCUGGGCUUCAGUAGCUGACCGGCUGUUGUAAUGCAGGACGAUGCCAGGAAGCUUGACAAAACUGCCAAAAAUCGCUACUCAGUGUAGCUUCACGAUUAAAGAUAAAAAGAAAUGGUUGAUGCCACCGUAGUGUCACGACCCGCUCGAUCUUGGCACAAGAAGAUCGAGAAAUUUAAAAUGUUGACGAGUUGGGGCUAACCGGAAUAUUCUAGACUCCCACAAGUGCAUGAAGAUUGCUAGAAUAUGGUGGGACAUUCUAGAAGCCUACAAGCCCCUCACUUGGUAGAUUAUUCUAGAUCAUCCUAGUUUAGUCCAUAGAUAUUUUAAUGUAGAUAUUUGUAUAGAUAAUUCUAGAUGUGUAAUCUAGACCGUUGGAUAGAAAAGAUCCUAGCCAUCCAUUUGAGGAGGCUACCACUAUAAAUAGCUUGGUAGGAUUCAUUUGAAGGAUCAAGAGAGUGAAAUUGUAAAGAGUAUUUUUUAUUCAAUACAAAGCCUUCUUUGUAAGCUCUUGUGUUUCUUCAUUGUCCCUUUCUUAAAGUGUUCUACUUAGUGCCUUUCUAAAACAUCAACGCCAAUCGGGAGGCUGACUUAGUGUAAUAACCGCGGGGGCGGAAGUUGAAGACACUAAGGCCGCACGGUUCUUGAAGGAAAUUAGCAAGUCCGUGACAGUUGGUAUCAGAGCCUAGGUUUGCUCACUUACUAUCGUUGGCAUGGCGGAAAAAGAUGUUGUGGGAUCCGGCAUUUCGAAAGUAGGAAAGACGUGACGAUUUUGGGUCGAGGACGGCUUACUCUACACUACGGGGUAGCGUAUCUAUGUUCCUAAGUGGAACAAUUUGCGGCGAGAUAUCAUCAAGGAGUGUCAUGACACAAAGUGGGCUGGUCAUCCAAGGCAGAAACACACAUUGGCACUACUUGAACGAGCUUACUAUUGGCCGCAAAUGAAAGACAUGGUGGAGCUCUAUGUAAAGACUUGUCUUGUGUGCCAACAAGACAAGGUGGAAACAAGGUCACCAGCGGGUUUGUUGGAGCCUCUACCAGUCCCGGAGCGUCCAUGGGACUCUAUCACCAUGGACUUCAUUAGUGCCCUGCCUAAAUUCGAAGGGUUCGGGUCAAUAAUGGUGGUGGUUGAUCGAUUCUCCAAGUAUGGCACCUUCAUUCCUGUCACCAAGGAUUGCACAGCGGAGGAAGCCGCAAGGCUAUUCUUCAAGAAUGUUGUGAAGUAUUGGGGGUUACCGCGGAGCAUAAUAAGUGAUCGUGAUCCCCAAUUCACGGGUCGGCUAUGGACGGAGUUGUUCAAACUCCUAGGCUCGGACCUACACUUCUCUACAAGCUUUCACCCUCAGACGGAUGGACAAACAGAAAGGGUGAAUGCUUUGUUGGAGUGCUAUCUCCGGCACUUUGUAAGUGCCAAUCAAAGAGAUUGGGCCAAGCUCCUGGAUAUUGCACAAUUUUCCUACAAUUUACAAAGGAGUGAAGCCACGGGGCGGAGCCCAUUCGAGUUGGUGACAGGACAACAACCACUAACACCCUACACUUUGUCCACUUCUAUUGAAGGAGGGAAAAACCCCGGAGCAUACAAAAUGGCUAAGUCAUGGGAAGAGCAUGCCGACUUAGCACGAUCUUGUUUAAACAAAGCCCAGAGGCGCAUGAAGAAGUGGGCCGAUAAGAAGAGACGGCCUUUGGAAUUUAAAGUUGGCGAUCAAGUCCUUGUGAAAAUAUUACCUCAACAAUUCAAGGCGUACCGAAGUGUACACAAAGGCUUGGUACGGAGAUAUGAAGGGCCGUUCCCGGUGANNNNNNNNNNNNNNNNNNNNNNNNNNNNNNNNNNNNNNNNNNNNNNNNNNNNNNNNNNNNNNNNNNNNNNNNNNNNNNNNNNNNNNNNNNNNNNNNNNNNNNNNNNNNNNNNNNNNNNNNNNNNNNNNNNNNNNNNNNNNNNNNNNNNNNNNNNNNNNNNNNNNNNNNNNNNNNNNNNNNNNNNNNNNNNNNNNNNNNNNNNNNNNNNNNNNNNNNNNNNNNNNNNNNNNNNNNNNNNNNNNNNNNNNNNNNNNNNNNNNNNNNNNNNNNNNNNNNNNNNNNNNNNNNNNNNNNNNNNNNNNNNNNNNNNNNNNNNNNNNNNNNNNNNNNNNNNNNNNNUAGAUAUUUUAAUGUAGAUAUUUGUAUAGAUAAUUCUAGAUGUGUAAUCUAGACCGUUGGAUAGAAAAGAUCCUAGCCAUCCAUUUGAGGAGGCUACCACUAUAAAUAGCUUGGUAGGAUUCAUUUGAAGGAUCAAGAGAGUGAAAUUGUAAAGAGUAUUCUUUAUUCAAUACAAAGCCUUCUUUGUAAGCUCUUGUGUUCCUUCAUUGUCCCUUUCUUAAAGUGUUCUACUUAGUGCCUUUCUAAAACAUCAACGCCAAUCGGGAGGCUGGCUUAGUGUAAUAACCGCGGGGGCGGAAGUUGAAGACACUAAGGCCGCACGGUUCUUGAAGGAAAUUAGGAAGUCCGUAACAGUAGGCUAUCCUGUCACCAGUGGCUGGCUUUCAUUUUGUCUUAUUUAGUACGGAGAACAUUUCUGAGGAUUCCAUAUAUGGACUUUUUUGCCGAAAUCUGAUACUUACUGUUACUGAUUGAUUACCUCUUUGUAACAGCCAUUCAGUAUGAUCCAGUUCGGAUAUGGCCGUUCAGUAACAUGGUACCAGAUUUUGUGAAAAGUGUUUUUUUUUUUUUGGAGAAUUUGUGGUCCAUGUCUAAAAUUAUUUUAUUGAAAGAGUAUGUGAUUGAAAAAAAAAAAAAAAGAGUACAUGGGCCGAUAUUAUUCAAUGUGGAUAUUAUAUUAUAUUUUCAUUCUUCCUUCUUCAAACCUACAUAAUCUAUAAAAAUAAGAGGGAUGGAAAACAAUAAUGAGUUUGUAAUGACUAUUGUCAUUCAACAAUCAAAGCGUGGAUCUUAUCUAGGAUUAAUGGCUAUUCAACAAGAUAUACGUAUUAAAGGCCAUGUCUAAAAAUUAUAUAUGCACUAGUUUAAGCUUUUCUGGUCCAUUUGAUUGUAAAUGUGGAAAAAGACAAAAUCAAUUCCAUGUAAGUUGAAAAAGAAAAAACUACCAAAACUAUAGGAAUUUGAGUUCCAUUCAAUUGGUCAAAAACAUGUUUUAAGUGUUUGUACCUUGAAAUUUGAACCCCUUUUCUACUUUCAUAUCAAACAAACAAAGUAGAAAACGAAUUCCUCAGAUGCAACAUUUUUCAUGGAAUUCAAUGCUAUCAAACAGACCCUUAGAUUAUUGUCGAAAAGUAUUGAGGGAGAAGCUACACUUUCGUGAUGAAAUAAUUUAUUAUUAGUUUAUUAGUUUAGUACAUUGAUUCACUCUUAGAUAAGCUUGCGCACGAUUUGGUUUGGGUUGGUUUCGACUCCAACUCGAAACCAAAAUCAAAUUAGUCGGUUUUGAUGAAUCUCAAUCAAAUCAAUCCACUCUAACUCUUAAAUCAAAUGGAACCAAACCAAAUCGGCUCAAUUUGAUUCGGUUAGUGGGUUUUAACUUUUAGUCCAAAAUGAUUUUUUUUUUUUUUAAAUUUCAAAAAUGUCUAAGUUUUGUGCCUGCUUAGAUUAAAAGAACUAAUAUAAGUUUAUAUAAUAAAAAUUAUUGACUAAUAAAUAAAAUUAGGUUAAUAGAGAUGGAUCAACUGAAAACUUAAUAAUUUUACUUAUUUAUUUAUUUAUUUAUUUAAUACAUUAUUUAACCUGAUUGCCCCGAGUAGGAAAAAAUGGCUAAGUAUAACAUAAUGAGCAUAUGAAAAGAAAUUCUUAGUGUUUUUAGUUAUCAACAACAUUAUAGAUUGGAAGGAAUUGAAAUAUGUUAAAAGAUUAUGACUUAUCUUUUGAUUUUUAUUUUUCUUUACAUAAAAUGGUAAAUAUUAAAUGGGUUGGGUUGGUUCGAUUAACCAGCGGUUUGAGGCUAAAAAUGAUAACCGAAUUGAUUUACCAUGAUUUGUAAAUCAAAUCAAACCAAAUACCUAUGAGAAACUGACACGAACCAUUGGUUCGAGUCGGUUCGAUUUGAUUGGUUUGAUCGAUUUUUUUUUUUUUUUUUUUUUUUUUUUUUUUUUUUUGGGUGUCCAGGCUAGCUCUUUGACAAGAUAUGUAAUAAAAUUAAGCUAUUUGCUUUUGCUCGUAACUAAUUUGUAAGUAAUCGAAGGCUCUGAUAGCGUAGACAAUAGGGAACUCAAAUUCUUAUGGUUUUCUGAGUGUUUCAUGUCGUUUUCGAAUAUUAGACUAUUCUCCAUUUUGGGAUUUGCUUGUCAAAACCUUUUUUUCAAGAUUGCAACUUUUUUUGUCAAUUAAUUAGAUUAUACUUGUGGAACUCAAAUAGCAUUUUCCUAACACGCUUUCUAUUCUUCGAAAUUGAUAUAAGAUUUACCUUUAUGUUAUUGACAAAAGUUUGAGCAGAAAAUUGUGGGUUUGCUACUAGCCACGUAUUUGUAUAUAAAUUGAACAUUCCUGUUACAUAAAUAAUUAUACGCGGUCGCAUUCAGACGAUUUGGGUAACACACGUGGCUUUGCUGUCAAAUAUUUUAACCUUUGUCGCCAAGGUUCAAAUCAUCGUUACGCAUUGGUUCAUGAUAAUAUUAAUUUUAUUUCUAUUUGAUAUGUGUAGUACUUGUUAAUAAGACAAUCCAACAUUAACCUAAUCUAGUAUUCCUUUUAUUCUCCAACUUGGAAUUUCGUAAAAUGUACACCAAUCUAACUACAAAUAAUCAAACAAGAAAAUAUAAUUUUUUCAUACAAAAUUUAAAUAACAACCCAUUAAAUACUUUUCUUUAUCAAAUUCUAAAUCUUCAUUUCUUUUUCUGAAGAGGGAAAUAAUUUUACAUCUCUGAUAAGAACUAAUGACAAAUGUGGUCGACUUGAAUAAGAUCAAGAGAAUUAAAAUUUAAGUGUCCCCCNNNNNNNNNNNNNNNNNUUUUUUUAACUAUUUGUUUUUUUUUUCCUUCCCCUUAACAUCAUCAAGUCUUAUCUUAUUCAGCUUACCAAAUAAGCCAGAAGUCUAAAGGAAUUUGAAAAGGGCUUUGCAAAUAUUAAUUAAUUUCAUUUCUGGGUUAUGUUUCAAGAAAUCCAGUCAUUUUGAGAAUUGAAUUCCUGACUUCACUCAAAUUUCUGCCCUUAAGAGUCCUUCCAUUUCCGGUGCAGACGGAGAACGCCAUCAUUUUCUCGGCGACCCGCUGGCUAACGAUAACGUGGGGUGGUACCAUUUCUCCACCGUCGUUUUCGUCAUCGAAAAUUUCCGAAUCUACAUACUGAACCGUCCAUAAACUUCCAGUUAUGUUUGCUGGGAUAUUUACCGGAACUGAAUUCUUCUUGGUCUUGAAUUUCUUCCUCUUGGUUUUGAUAUUUCUUCACGGAAAAUUGUACUCCUCGUUGCCAUCUUCAUCUCCGGCAUAGUCUUGAAAAAUAACUUCAGAUUCUUGAAAUACUUCUGCCAUGGAAAAUGAGAGAAAAGUACGAAUUAAAAUGGUAUUUAGGAAUUGGUAAAGGGUGGGAAAUGCAAGGAAAUUUAUAGAGGGCGAAAAUGAUUGAUUAGAGGAAGAGAGUUUGAUUGGGGGUGGUGAAGUGGCGUCAUUGUAAAGGGCGUUGAGUGCGGACCCAACUUUCUGCGUCUAUGUUUUAUGUGUUUUUCUCACUCUUGAAGUAACUCCAAAAUAAGCUUUCCAAAGACUAAGAUGCUGUUACUUGUGCCUCACGGCUCUGUUCUGCCUAUUAUUUUUGCUUGGCCUGUAAUUUGUGCAGUUUAAUGACUCCAUUCGUUGGUCUUUAGUUUCGAUUAGCUUAAGAUUAAAAACAAGGACAACUCUACACGAAUUUUUUUAUCGAAUCUUUUACCUACUACUCAUAACGAGGUGGGGAUCACAUGUCAACAUUUUUUAUUUCACGCAGAGCCUACAUUCGAUACAUAUGGAAUAAUCCCAAAAACAAUAUUCUUUAAAUUUUAAUAGGUCAAUAUUUACUUUUAGUUAGUGAACUUCAUAAUAUUUACUUUGUUAAUCUUUGAAAUCCAAACUAAAUACAUUCAAACUAAAUAUGAAAAUGAUUUAUCAUACUUAUGAUAUGUUUAUGUAUCACCUAAUUAUGUACUGAAAUCGAUUUCAAGGUAAAGCAAUAUAAGCAAACAGUAUGAUAAUUCAGUAACGUUGUUAGUUCUAAGGACAAAAUCAUUUUCAAGAAUUAAUAUUAUAAGCAUUAUAAAGUUUACGAUAGAUAUUUAACAUUAUAAAAUUUAGUUGUCAUUUUGAUGUAUGCUUCUAAAUUCACGUAAAAUUUAUUCUUUAUUAUUAUGCGAAUAUAUAAAAUCUUAUACAUAGAUUAACGAAAUCUCUUUUCUCUAAACAGAAUAAAAAAAAAAAAAAUACAUUCGAUCUCCACAAGAAGAUAAAAUAGAAGACGUUAAUCGAAAAAUGAAAUAAAUAAAAGUAAUAAAAAAAAUAAAAUAAGAAACAUCACAAUGUUCCAUAAAAAAAUGAAUAAAGUUGUUUGUACAAAUAAAAAUUAUGGGAAGCAUUAUUGGUGAUGAGAUUACAACACUGCAGUGAUUGAUUUAACUUUAUUUUGUAUUCAACAUUCAAUAAAUACUUGCUAACUGACAAUAUGUAAAAAACUUUGAACUAUGCUGGACGAAUAGGGUCACGCCAGGGAGUUUAAUUGGCGCCCCCUCCCCCCUCCAAUAAGGGGGCGCCAAUUAGAUGUCCAUAGGCCUUCUCUAAGAAAAUUUAUUGAAGGAUUUUUGUACAUAUAUGAAAAAUUUGUCGCUACCAAUGAGAGGUUUGUUCGCCUUGUCCAAGAAGAUUUAUUGAAAGAUUUUUGUACAUAUAUGAAACGUGGCCUUGACCGUCCAGGGCGUUUAAUUGGCGCCCGAUGUCCAUAGACCUUGUUCAAAAAAAAUUAUUGAAAGAUUUUUGUACAUGCACGAAAUUUUUUUUUCUACCAAUUAGACGUCCGUUUGCCCUGUCCAAGAGAUUUAUUGAAAGAUUUUUGUACGUAUAUGAAAAAAUUGUCGCUAGUCAAAAGAAGGUGAAAAGAAGGAAUAAAGACUACCUUUACCACAAAAGGACAAACUCAUUAUUUUAAAACACUGAAUGGACCCACUUUUAUGAGAAAUUCAGUAUUUUAUACUAAAAAAUGGAGCUCAGCCGAUCCAAAUCCAUUUUUUUUUUUAUAUACAGGUAUCCCAGCUUACAUCAGACUAAAUUCUGGACCUCCAAAACCCUUGCCUCUAAAAUCUUGGAGGGGGUAAAUCGCGGGUUAUGCCUCAACUGGAUUACAGGUUCCCCCCAUUACCUGUACACUUUUGCGCACAAGAAACCCUCCUUCACAGUGAUUGCUCCAUACCAAAUAUUUGGCCACAGGUUCCCACCAGGAAUCGAACUCUCCACCCUGCCGCUGGACACAAGACAAUGUUGAUUGAUCCACCAGUUGAGCUGUGCCCCGAGGGGCAAUCCAAAUCCAUUUUUGAGUGUACCUUAAGUUUCAAAAGCUGUAUUCUGGCAAAUUAGUAGACAUGGGCGGAUCAGUCGUAAGUUAAAAGCGUUCGCGCAGCUCGGCACAUCCGACGGCUCAUAUUUCACCCCAAAGAAUUCAAGGUCCACCGAGUUAUCGAUAUACAGGUAUGCCAAAAAAAAAAGGUUGAAAAAAUGACAAGCCACUUAUAAAUUGACACGUUACAUUUGUGAAAUCAUACGCUCUACAAAGAAAGGCAUCUGGAUUAUUCUCAGCCAGACGGCUUCCUCGCCGUUUUAAGUAGAGAUAAAAGUGUUCAAUUAGGCUGCAAGGAAACAAAAGGAAGUACAUCUUUGGCUAGCUUUAAAAUUUUAGUUUCGAGCAAGUUUAGGGUUGGCAACGGUUCGGUUAUGGGUCGUUCAGCCAAAAUCAUAACCGCACCAUCAAUUUUUUGACCAUACCAUAACCGCACCAUAACCACGUAAAUCGGUUCGGUUCGUAUCUCCGUUCGGCACGGUUCGGUUCGACUAUUAACCACGAAAAUAAAUUAUUUUUUAUAGAUUCAUCCGUCAAAUUGAUAUAAAAUAAUUUAUGAAAAAAGUCAAUGAAAACAAAAACACAGUAUUUCAGAUGAAAAUGCAAACAUUAUCAAACAAUAUUCCAAACGAAAAUACAAAACAUUAUCCCAAUUUUCAAUUGUAAAAUACAAAUUUAACAAACAAUAUUAUAAAUAUAAUAAUACUAAACUUUUCCUUUAUUCUUAAUUGUUGUGCAUUGAAGUUACUUGAUUCAUUCUUCUCCACAAGUCUUACUAGCAUAGAUCAGCACUCAAAGUUGAUUCCUAUAUAGUAAAUAAGAAAUGUAAGUAGAGAAUAUAACGAUACUACCUAUUCAGAAUAUUCUUAACUAAUAUUUAAAAAAAUGUAUAUCUUCAUCAACUUCCUUCUCACUAAACGUUGUACAAACUCUAAAGUAUGAUGAAAAAGUAUAAUUUUCUACACAUAAUAGAAAAAAGUUAAUAAUAAAAUGAGCCGUGCGUGAGUUUAUGGUUUGUGGAGAGUAGUGUUUGCAUUUAUAUACUGUCAUACUAAUACUAAUAUUAUGGGCUAAUGGUAAGUGGACUGGUCGGCUGAGUCAGGUAGAUGUAAUGGAGGGGAUUUUGUUUUGAGCUAAAUAGAAAAGUAGUGUAAAAUCUAAUAAUCAAAUCAAUUCAAUUCAAUUGUGUGUGUGAGUGUAUUUUUUUUUUUUUUUAGUGGGCAAUCGAUUCGGUUUCGGUUCGACGGCAUAAGGACCAUACUCACUCCGCCAUGAACCGGUUUAUUAAAAUCAAAACCAUACUCGAUUGCACCACCAAUUGCACCACCAAUUCGAUUUUUUUCGCUCCAUUCGGUUCGGUUAACCGCAAUUUUCGAUUUUGAUGGAUCAAACUGCCAUCCCUAAGCAAGUUUAGUCAUAAGUAAUUAAAUAGUUAAAGAUAUUUUUUAUUAACCAAAGUUCGAAAUAAUCGAUUACUUAUUUUUAACAUGACUCUUAUAUGUUUUAUGGAGAUAUCAAAAGGUGCUGAAUUGGCCAAAUGACUUAGUAGGGGCUUGGUAUAGUCCAAUACAAAAUAUGCAAAAUAAGAAUACAUACUCGUAGAUUAGGCACAAUCUUAUCCAUUUUAGAUGCGUCAAUCAUAUAUAAUUUAAAAUGAGCAAGGCAAAACAUAGUCGUGUCAGGCCUACGCUAGUCAAACCAUCUCAAAACUAAACCGUAACUUGUUAGUUUAGAAUAUAUAAACGUGCAACACUUGAUUGAGUAUAACUUUACUUAUUUGUCUUUUGAAGAAAAUGACAAACAAAGCUUGGCGGUCAAUUUCUUCCUGAAGCUUACCCAUUUUUGCAUUAAUCUUAGUGGACAUUUAUAUUCUCCACAUUCUAUUUAUAUAGAUUUGUUUUAUUUUUCAUACGAAUUAAGAAAUUUUAUUAAUGUUACUGAAAGGAUAAUUUUUGUCAAAAUUUUUUCUAAUUUACCAUUAUUUAUAUUUGUACAAUUUCAAGAUUAAAUAAAAAAAAAUUGAUUAUAACUUGACAAAUUACAUAUAUUAAUAAACAAAUAAAACAAAAAAUUCUCAAUAAUGAAACAAGACUAUAUAAUUGAGACAAAAAAAUAUGAAAAGUCAGCUUAUAUGAGAUGGAGGGAAUAAAAUAUUCUAUUGAGGAUAAUGACCUUAACCUCAUCCACUUGGUUACUUUCCUUAAUUAACUACACUAUAAUAUUUAGGUAUUUGGUGUUUANNNNNNNNNNNNNNNNNNNNNNNNNNNNNNNNNNNNNNNNNNNNNNNNNNNNNNNNNNNNNNNNNNNNNNNNNNNNNNNNNNNNNNNNNNNNNNNNNNNNNNNNNNNNNNNNNNNNNNNNNNNNNNNNNNNNNNNNNNNNNNNNNNNNNNNNNNNNNNNNNNNNAAUUUUAUUUUCAAUCAUAAAUUUCAAUAGACCUGUAAGUAUUAUCUACUUAUCCACAACUCAUACUAAAUAUAUAAUAAGUAAAAUUGAAGAUACGACGAAUGACUACUCUAAUUAUUAAGCAAAAUUAUUUUUGAGGCGAACAAGAAAUUACGUUCCAAGUAAAUCAAUUACUAACUACAAGUAUGAACGUGAAAAUUUAUGGUGGCAAUAUGAUAUCAGAUAUUCAAAAGAAAUUUUAGCACUUCUUUGGUAGAGUAUUCAGUACUCUCUUUGUCAUCGUUAAACUUACUUUCAUAUUAAGCCCUUGUUUAGGCCCAUUUUAAUACAAAUUUGGGGAAAAAUGAGUUUUGAAUAAUGAUUUUUUUGGAGAAUGUGUGGUUAAAAAAAUAAAGAAAAGCUUUUGAUUUAUAUGUAAUAUUGCUUUAUAAAAGAAUGUGUGGUUGCAAAAUGAAUUUUGAAAAAAACGAAUUUUUGAAAAAAAGGUCGAACAUAGGUUAAUUAACUUGAAUACACUAUUUAAUUAGGAUUCAAUCAUGCACAUAUCCAUUAAAUAGUGACAUGAAUUACUGAAUUUCACACUCUAGAAUAUUAAAUUUUUUCUCCAAUAUACUGAGUUGGAAGAGGAAGAGUAGGACUUGGGACUAACCUAGGUAUGGGCUUGGGCCUCCUCUCAAGUCUUGGUUUAAUAAGAAUAUUAUUUUUGGAGAGAACAAUUAAUCAACUUUGAGUAAUGUUAUUUAUAAGUUGUACUCAGAGCCAACCGUUUGUGUGACAGUUUUGUCAUUGUCAAAUUAUUCAAUAAAAAUAUAUUGAAACUUUAUUAGAAAAUGUGACAGUGAUGUAUAAACAACUUACAAAUAAUAUUUUCUAAUGAGGAUUUGACUUGGAAACAUAAUCUUCCAAUAAUGUGUCAAUUGCCAGCAUGUGGCACAAUAACGUAACACAUGGUUAAGUAAAUUCGUCCGGUGUUAAACUACAAGAUAUGUACAUAUUCCUUUUCGAAAGUACGUCUUUAAAUAAAUAUUUUUUUUUGUUAAUAAUCACGGUCUCUCGAAUAGGGCAUGCCCCUUUCAACUAGCAUGUUUCUGUUGAAUAGUGAUGGUCACUGUUCAUGAAUAGUGGAUACUAAUCGGUAGAAAGUUUUCCAUUCGCAUUUAAUGCAGAGGUUAUCAUGCAUGGUUUUCUUCUCAAAUUUCAAAUGCAAUUGGGAAUGGCAUUAAAGUCACUGAAUGGAUAUACGUGAAUAGCAUUGUGCAGCGAGUUAAGCGGGACAAAAUUGAGAGAUUAUCUCUGCGUGGCAAAUAAAAUACACAGAAUGUAUUUUUGUAUUGCUCUUCUUCUCUUGUUGAUAUAGUGAAAAAUUUGUGUGAGUUUGUGGACGUAGGCACGAUUGUCGAACCAUGUAAAUUAUUGUGUCAUACUUGCAUUUAUUUUUGUUAUCUUCAUUUGCUCUUAUUUUAAAUUAUUUUGCGUCCCACUGAUCUUGACAGAGUUAGUAGCUUUACACUUUCCACCACUAUAAUAGAAUCCUCUUUGCAAAAUUUUUAAUCGAGUUGUUCGGCUAACUUUUGAGUUCUAGAAAUGAUUGUACUAAUACGUGAGAUUAUCGCUUAAAGUCUAAAAGCACAUUUUCUCAGUUCCAUACUCGUUGGAAGGUGCAGGACAAGUACAUAAUACAUAAUUAACAACUUUAUUAUUGGCAUGAAGCAAAACACAAUGGAGAAAAAAAAACAUUGAACUCCAACCUUGAGAGUCUCCACCGCCCCGCCCCUAGAGUUUUAUGAGGGAGGUAAAUUACGGGAUGUGCCCAAGCAGGCAAGGGAACAAGAGCUGCCUGUACACUGCGUCUACAGAGAGUUUAAUUCCAUGUCUCAAGAAUCGAACCCUUACACUGCGACUGCUAACAAGGCGUGAGAUAAUCUCACUCCUAUCCUUUGCACGAUUGAGCUAUGCCCCGGGGGGCAAAAAGAAAAGAAAAGAAAAAACACAACAGAGAAUUCACACUUAAUAUUGAUUGAGUAAGGUCUAUGUCUAAUUCUUUUAGGACACGUUUGCGCCUAAUAUUGGACAAGCCAGUACAAUGAAUAAGAUUUUAUUUAUUUUUUCUUAAUAUUUUACAGUAUUUUCUUGUUCACCCAAUACCGUGAGGUAUUUACUCUAAGGAUAAUGCAAUUGGACUUCUUUAUGAAUCAAUUCGCUCCAACUAUAACAACCAAAUGCAAACUUAUUUUCCCGCAUAGGCUUCUUCCCUACAACCGUUAUGUUGAAGCCUCUACUUUUCCGCUUUAGCGUUGAAGUGUAACGUGGGUGGAGAUAUUUCUAUGGAGUAACCAGGAUGUUUUUUAAUUGUAACCAAGUAUGAAGACUUACUACCAACAUUUGUAACAGUUCGAGUGACAAUCAUGGAUACUUUAAGCUUAGGCACUUCGCAAUUGCUAGUGAUAGAUAGUUGAGAUUACUCGGCGAAGGAAUAACAUUGGGACAUUUGAAAGAUGGAACGAGCAAAUUACAGCUAUUAGGACAGAGGAAGAGAUGAUAGUCAGUAUAAGAAGCAUUAUAAACAAUUCCUGAAUCAACUGCCUUUGAAGGCUGAAUGUGGCCCACGUUAUUAUGUAAAAGAAUAAAAUCUCAUAUCGAAUAAAAAUAAAAAUUUAGACUAACUUAUAAGAAUUUGGGAUAAAGUGUUUUUUUUUUCUUUUUCCAAAUAAAAUUUUCGUUUAAUGGCCCCUGAAUAUUUUGAGUAUUCUUAAAGAAAUUUUUUCUUGCUACUUAGGUAACAGGCAUCUCUGCUAUAAGCCGGCCCGCAGUCGAAGCGAAAAUAUUCCAAACGAACGACAUUUAUUGAAAUCUAAUUCGGGUGACAAUAGAUGAUUUUCUUCUCCUUGACCAUAUAAACAUUUCAUAUUUGAUGGUUCUUUGUGUUGUGAAUCGAUGGUGAUAUACGCUGAUGUGUUGUUUUGGAUGAAACUUGUGUUAGUUUUUGCUAGGAUUUUAUUUCAUUUCUCUUGAAUAUUUACGAAAAUGCAAGAAGACAUUUUCAAGGCCGGAAAGAAAGAACGCCACUUUAUGGAAUAAAUAAAAGAGAUUCUGCUGGGAGGAUGAUUGAAUUUUUAUAAUUGCAUUCUUUGCAUCAUGACGCCUAAAUAAAGAUAUACGUAAUUGCUCGCUUCACAAAGCAAAUUGAAACGGGUAGAUAUCUGGACUUCCAAAUGAAAAAGAGACAGUUUAUGGUUCACUGGAUAAAUUGAUGGCUUGUGAUACUACAUGACUGCCGGCAAGCACAAAUGGCAAGAUAAACGCAUGAUGUGAUCUGGAUAGAAAGCGAGUGAUUGAAGUAUGAGUUUUGCUCGAAUUCUCGUCCAGACAUUUUUGUUGAAAGUGGACCGACAACAAGAAGCUGAAACAUUAAAAAUUCUAAAUUUUUUUUUCUCCAACUAUGUGGGCUAGUAAUGAAAUCCACAGUGUUCAUAUCUGUAGAAGCAUAUCACUUUUUUAUGACUUGUCCAAAAGGUCCCAUUAAGAAAUUUACAAGUCAAUUUCCUUCUUACUACUGCUACUACUAUUACUACGUGCCUUUGUAAUACAUUUUAAUUAUUUAAUUAGUAAUGAUUGAAGAAAUGAAUUAAAAUAAAAGCACUUAAAAAGUUUUAAAAUAUAACAAAAACGAUUAUUUAAAGUUAAAACGAAAAUGUCACAACAACCAUAUACACACAUCAUUCUACAAUUAUUUAAGGAAAACAUUACAUAAAACAAGUGAAUACAAUGUUUUCAUUAAUUUAAUGUAAUUUAUGCAGUUGUAAAAUAAAUGAAUAAAUAAUUUUUCAGGUAAAUAAAUUGUUGAGAAUUAAAAAAAAAUGAAGAAAAUAGUUAAAUACUUUUUAUUUGGUGUAAGAUUUGAUGUAAUGGAUUGGAGAUGAAUUUUAUUUUGGUACAAGAUUUUGGGCAAAAUAGUGCAAAACUCACCUUAAAUUUUGAUUUAGGGUUGGAGAUGGCUUAAGAACUUCAACAAUUAGAACAAAAAUAGAGGGCCUCAAGAAGAAAAAUAAGCACUUUAUACCUCGUAUGCAUUGACUGUGGUGUUUAGUAUAGAUAGUUGGUGAUUGACCAGAAUAAGAUAAAAUGACAAUCGGUGAUUGAAAAUGAGAUAUUUAAUAUUUAUUAGAAAGUUGUGAGAUAAUUUAAUGAAAACUUGAACAUGUUUUUAAAUUUAAAGGUUUGAGAAUUCAUUUAUUCUUUUUUGAAAGUUAAAGACUGACCAAGGAACUUCAACAAUUAGAACAAUAAUAGCAUACCCCCACAAAGAAAAAUAAGUACUUUAUACCUCAUAUACGUUAAAUUUGGUGUUCAGCAUGAACAAUUGGUGAUUGAACAAAAUAACAUAAAAUGACAAUUGACGAUUGAACAAAAUAGCAAAAAAUGAGAAUUGGUAAUUGGAAAUCAAACAUAUUUCUAAGAAAGUUGUGGAAUAACUUAACGAAAACUUGAAUUUAUAUUGAACGUCAAGAGUUCAUUUAUUCUUUUUUGAAAGUUAAAGACACACUAAGAACUUCAAAAAUUACUGAAAAACAAUAAUAGCGGACCCAGGAAGAAAAACUAGCACUGUAUACUUCGUAUACAUUGAUUUUGGUGUUCGGUAUGGACAAUUGAUGAUUGAAUAGAAUAUGAUAAAAUGACAAAUGGUCAAAGGGAAGAAAAAGGCCAUUUGAAAGCGGGCAGUGCUACAUGAACAGGGCCACAUAGCCCUAUUUUUUCAGGGUUUGUGGCCUUUUUUGAGAAGAUUUAUCCUUUGAAAGGCCUGUUAGAGAAGAUUUAUUCUUUGAACGCAAAUAGUUUGAAAAGGGGUCAAAUCUUCAACUUUUUCCUUUAUGUUUAGUAAUUUUUGACUAGUUCAAAUAUAAAAACAACACAAACAAAUUGGUUUGUUUGUCCGUUACACAAAAGUUAGCCCUUGUUUGGUAGAGAUUAAAAUCGAAUUUUUAGUAAAUUUUGAUAAAAGUUGAUGAAAUAUGUAGUUGAAAAAUUGUAGGUUCCAUGAAAUAUGCGGUUAAAAUUAAUUGUUUAUUUUGACCUAGAUUUUAUUCCUACCAAACAGGGGCUUAUUUGGCUAUACAUGGAUAAAUUAAUAGAACUAGUGCAUAAUUAGUACAUAGGGUGUAGCCUUGUACAACCUGUAAAACACGAUUUCAUGUAGCAUGUUCACUAAUCAUCUAAAUUCCUAUAUUCUAUUACAAUGUUAAGUCCCUAUUUGAUUUAGCUAAAAAUCAGAUUGAUAAAAAUUGAUGGAAUGCAUGUUUGAAAAUUGAUUAAAAUUGUGAGUAUCAUAAAAUGUGUGAUUAAAAUUAAGUAUUGAUUUCAACUUAAAUUUUUAUCAACUUUUUAAUUAAAUGUGAAAGCGUAUGUGGCAUAUGAUCAUAAAAAGAAUAAAAAAGUACCUAAGUUAAAUAAAGCUGGAGUAGUUUUGGGCAAAGGAAAAGAAUAUUAAGUGCAUGUUUAUAUAUAGAACUCGAAAAAUUUGUUCUUUAAAUUCUGUCGGUUAUUUUACAUAUAACCUUACUAAACAAGCCAUAAAAAUAUGCAUUUUUUUCGUAUAUUUAUUUAGGGUAUAUACUGUAUGACACAAAGAUAUAUUUUCUGACAACUUUCAAGAGUACGACAAUUUGUUGAGAGAAUAAUUUUGCAAUCCUGUGUGCCCAUUAAUAUCGUCACAUAGAUAUAAGGUUGGGUGGAUAGAGAUCUCUGGAAGAGGUAAAUGACGAGCCGAUUUCUCGUGCAUCAGAAGGAUUAGAAAAGGUCUGAGUUUCACUUGAACUAGGUUUCAAGUCUUCAAGCUUCUCUCUGAGUGAUUGAAGCUUCAAUUCAUCUUCAUAGAUGCUUGGAUCUAUCUUAAAUUCCUGAACAUUUAUAUAUCCUUCAAGCAUGCCACAAACCGUGGACAUUGGAGGCCUUAGGGACGGAGAUGGAUUGGUGCACAAUAGAGCAACUUUGAUCAUUCGUUAUGCCUUGUCCAUAUUGAAAUUUGAACCCAACCUUGGAUCCAUGAGCUCCAUCAACCUUCCUUCGUUUUGCAAAAUCGUAGCCCGAGACGAAAGGCCAUUGCAUGAGACCUUACUUCGUGGACAUAAGAACGAAAAACAGGUUAAUGAGAUAAAACUUCAUUAUCUGAUUUGGAGAAAAUACAAAUAUCUUACCCAAUCAAGAAGGCAAAUGAAACUUUCACUGGGACGAUAUUUCAUGUUGCUCUUUCCAGAAAUAAUUUCUAGUGCAACGACGCCAAAACUGUACACGUCUGCUUUGUAGGUUAAGUAACCCCACAUUGCAUAUUCUGGAGCCAUAUACCCGCUACAAAAUGAAAAUGAUCAAAUGCAUAUUAGCACAAGCUUUCACUCCCAUUUCUCAAAUAAGCAAGUUCAAAUUUCAAAUGUUGCACGUGGAUGAUUUGAAUAAUAAUUUAGUGUUGCAAAUGUCGUGAUACUAAAUAUUCCCAAAAGACUUUAAACCGCUUUCAUCUUGUUCAAGUUUGUAUAACAAGUUCAAUUGUAAGUAAAUAAAGUGGAUUUUUCAAUAAAUAAUUAUUUUAUUGGUCAACUAAAAAUGGCGAGAUGAAGAGAAAAAAAAUCUCACAUGGUCCCUGCAACUCUAGUGCUGAUGUGGGAGUUAUCAUCCUCAUCGAGCUUGGCUAAACCAAAAUCGGAAAUCCUUGGAUUGAGGUCUUUAUCAAGAAGAAUGUUGUUGGGUUUUAUGUCUCUAUGAACAAUUUUCAACGUGGAUUCUUCAUGCAGAAAAGCCAAGCCUCUUGCUAUACCAAGAGAAAAAAAUCUCACAUGGUCCCUGCAACUCUAGUGCUGAUGUGGGAGUUAUCAUCCUCAUCGAGCUUGGCUAAACCAAAAUCGGAAAUCCUUGGAUUGAGGUCUUUAUCAAGAAGAAUGUUGUUGGGUUUUAUGUCUCUAUGAACAAUUUUCAACGUGGAUUCUUCAUGCAGAAAAGCCAAGCCUCUUGCUAUACCAAUACAAAUUGUCUGGUUGGCCAGUCCAUUUUUAAUUGCCUUUCCUCUGGUCCUGUACUUGAUAAUACGAUUCAAUUAAGUGUGUGCAUGGAUUUUAAAUACUAAAUUUGUAUAUUAGACAAGAUUUUAAAGAAUGCAUAACGCAGGUACAAAUUCCAAUUACCAUAUAAAGCGCGGGCAAGGCUAUUGUUCUCCAUGUAUUCAUAAACCAGCAGUAAAUGGCUUCCCUCAAUGCAACAUCUAUACAAUUUUACGAGAUUUGGAUGCUGUAAACCAGAAAUCAUGCCUAUUUCAUUCACGAAUUCACCGUUCCCUUGCUUUGAUUUGGAAGACAGCUACUUGACAGCAAUUACACUACCAUCCAACAGUAUACCCUGCAAAUGAAGCAUUAUAGUAUCACAGACAUGCACGCAUAUAGAAAUGUUAGAAAAAUAUAAGCGCGAAGGUAUAGACAAAGUAUAAGAGAGAAAAGUUGGAAGUUAAUAUUUCUACAUACCUUGUAGACAGAGCCAAAACCACCUUCCCCAAUUUUAUUUGCAGCAUCAAAGUUGUUUGUGGCGGCUUUGAUUUGUCUAAAAGUAAAAAAGCCAGUCCGCAAAUCUAAUCCCCUUAGUUCUAGAAAAGAACAAUUUUUAGAUGUUGAAUUCAUUGUAAGCUAUAUAGUUAAGGAUUUCGUCAGCUCUCUUUUUCUCUAUGUAGUACACUAGAAUAUGUUUUAGUUUUUCUUUGAUCUAUUGCUUGGCCAUGGUCACAUCACCACGAGAAAAAUAUUUAUCCUAAAUUUGAGAGUAACUUCCAUAGUUGUCAGCUGAUGCAUUACUACUGUAAGACUAUCCAUAAAAUUAUAUACGACAAUUCAAUAUUUACAUUCUUGCUUAAAUACUAAGAAAGGUCUAUUUGUUCACCUUCUUCCCUUGAGAUCCUGCCUCCUAUAUAGCCUUUCCACCAUGAAAAAAUAAGAAUAAUGAGAAUGAAAAAAAUUGCCAAAGCUGUUACUUCUGUUGGGAUGAAAAUAUUCUUUCCUUCGGAUGGAGGCUUAAAAUCUACAUAAUGAAAGAAAUAAAGAAUAAUUUGUUACAUGGUGUUCAGUUUGCUAGCUAGCACCAGAAAAUAAUUACAUAAAGGAAUUGGUAUAGAAAAUUUGAGAACAAUAACAAGUGAAAAAGAACGAUAAUAGAUUAAUUAAUCGAGUACUAAUUUAAGUGCCAUCAACACCUGAGUCAUGUUGCUUAAGUUGCAAAAGAUUAUGUGGUUGUGCAGAUAAAAUGUAUAUUUUCUCAAAUAAAUAGAUAAAAAAAAAAUCUUAAGAGAGAUAGAGGUGUUUUGAGGAUAAAUUUAAUGGUAUUACACAAACUAUCUUACCAGAUUCCACAGAAAUGGCAGAUAUCAAAGGGUCAUAUACUCUUCCGAAAGGGAUGGCUAUUAAUCCUUUCCCAGAAUAGUAAAAUCGGAUAUCCAGAGUUUUAUUCUUAACCGUCGCAUUAAAUUGUUUUUUCACAGCGUUAUCAACUCCUUUCGCAUCCUUCUUAAUAUCAAAAUCUUUCAAUUUCAGUUCGUCCUAUAUUACGUUGAAUAAGUUUGAGUCAAAUUGCAACAGUAAAUGGCACUAAAAAAAACUGUUUAUUUAUUACUUGACCUGGAUAUAAAUGUCAAACAUCUGUCUCCCAAGACUCUGGAAAGAGUUAUUAUCUCUAAAAAUUAUCUCUGCAAAGUGAAGUGUCACAGUGUAGUUUCCAUUUGCUAAGCAACACCCGUAAUAAGUGAGAGAUAAAGGAGAUAGACGAGCAUCUGCAUAGAGUUCAGAGUCCUUCAUUUUCAGCACAGAUACAUUGUAGGCUUUAUAGUGAUUCUUGAACCAAGGAAAAUGUCCUGUACUACUAGUUCCCCAGUUCUCUUUUGAGUGAACAAAUUGUACUGAACCUCCUGUUUGUACAUUAGCUUCAAAUUUUUUGUUGAAAAUAGUAACUUCCCCUCCACCACAAUUUACAUAAAAGGAAUACCAAUUUGUGAAAAACCAAAGCAUAAUAAGUUUUCUAGAGCAUCUCUAAAAGACUCUUCAAACAUAAAAUUUCUCUAUUUUAAAGAAUCAAGCCUUAAAGUUAUGCUUCAAGAGACUAUUUAAUUUAACAUUUUAAUUUAGAGAGAGUUUGACUCUCCAAACUUAGAGAGUCAAACACGCUCUUUAUAAUUUAAUGCAUUUAAAAUAUUUCAAUUUUCAGUGAAAAAUAAUAUAAUAAUUUAGAGGAAAGCUAGUGAAAGUAAAAGACAAGAAAAAAACAAUAAAUAUUUUUCUGAAGUAGUAAAAUUAAGUAUUAUAUAUAAAGAACUUGUUGAAGUACUUAAAAAUUUUUACUCCCUAAAUUUAAAUGUUCUUUAUUGCGGAAGCUCAUUCGAAGAUCUUAGAAAUGGUGAAUUUCGGGCUCAGUUUUUAGUUAUAUUUUUCUACCAAACAACCAAUCUACACUACUCCAACCCACAACCAGUAUAUUCAUCUCGAUUGCUCCUCAAUCUCACCCACAAAGAAUAAGGUAACGGUGAUGAUUUAUAGGCCACAAAGGCAUGGGAAAAACAACGAAAAAGGCAAGAGAAUGGACCAAAAUACACAAGAUGAAGGCACUGAUUUUCUCUCUAUAUGGCAACUGACUUUUCCAGGAAGAAGCAACCACAUUUUUCCUCAUUUUCAUAAACAAAUCAUACACUAACGGCAAGGGGAAAAAGCAACAUAUAUAUAGGGUUAGGUUAGGUUUUAGUUGGACCAAUAAGGGUUAAAUGGGCCAAAAUUCAAAGCCAUCUAAGAGGUAAUAUAUAUGGGCUGUGAGUAGCUCUAAUUUCUUAAGCUACUUCCUACAGUCCAUAUUGUUUUUAGGUCGCGCUUUUAGACUUAACUGUUGGUAACAAUUUCACUCAUCGACCAAUACCUAUGAAAUUCAAUCUGACAUUUAAUAAUCAUAGCCAAAGAUUUAUUAGGUAUCAAAACUCAACAAAUCUUCACCUUUAUACUCAAUCAACUUACAAGUAAUCAAAAUACAAAGUUAGUACUUACACAAUCAAAGUAGCUAAUAAAAUUGGGAUCACAGACUUUACCUCGUGUUUUGGACCCGAAACACAUACCAUACCAACUUUACGUACUCACCAGGGCUAUAGUCUUAAAGAAAUACCCAAGUAGAAGUUUAUUAUAAUAGUAAACAAUCAAGAGCAAAUAAAUAUGCGAUGAAGAUAUAACAUAUGAUAAUACACAGAUCUUUUCAAACCCAUGUUCGCACAGAACAAAAGAUUAACACCAAGUUAAUCAAUAAACGGUUAACAUAUAUACAACAAAUGCAUAAAUGACCACAUGAAAAGAUCUUACCACACUUAUCCUAUCCCAUUUUUGUUUCCCUCUCAUUGCCCACCAUGUUUACUAAACUGAUCACUCAAUUCAUGUCUAAUUCAUAAAUCACAAUAGGUCCUAAAUUCGUAGGAUAAUCCUAUAUCAUCAUAUCAUUUUUCCAACCUACGUGGAUACAUGAGUCUCCACCUAACAUAAGUGAUAGACGUGUAUCUCUUACACUCCACAUGAUCAUGAUUUUCUCAGUUAAAGAGUUCCAACAUUUAAUCACAUUUUCACUCGUGAUCAAAAUGUCACAUCUCACAUUCCUGGUACAAACCACCAAUGUACCCCUAGUCAUCUAUACUCCACCUCACCAAUAGACACACAACACAAUUAUUGCUAUUACAUCCUAACCCACUAUGCAUGCAAACAAUUAUACCAAAUAAUCACAUUGCUCUCAAAUUCAUACAAUGGCACAUAUUAAACACAUAGAAAUGUCAUAUAACUAUGCAACAUAAUUAAGCAAUCACACAUGCAGAAAGGAGUACACACAUUUGCACAUGCAAUAACUAGAUUUACUCUUAAUAAACCUCACUAUGAUUAUCACUCGACCUUAUAGCCACAUUUACCUCACCUCUCAUCUUACCCUUCUGCUUAUUCCCUUUUUUGGGAUAAUCUCUCACAAAGUGUUUAGACUUACCAAAGCUGUAACAUUAGUUACUACUAGACUUAUCCCAACCUUUAACCUUUUUUUUUACCACCCUCAUCACUCGAGUCAUCACUUGAAUCACAACUGUCUUGAUUUCUUCCCGAAUUUAUUUGUUUAAACUUCAUUUUACUCUUCAUUAUAUAUAACUCACAACUNNNNNNNNNNNNNNNNNNNNNNNNNNNNNNNNNNNNNNNNNNNNNNNNNNNNNNNNNNNNNNNNNNNNNNNNNNNNNNNNNNNNNNNNNNNNNNNNNNNNNNNNNNNNNNNNNNNNNNNNNNNNNNNNNNNNNNNNNNNNNNNNNNNNNNNNNNNNNNNNNNNNNNNNNNNNNNNNNNNNNNNNNNNNNNNNNNNNNNNNNNNNNNNNNNNNNNNNNNNNNNNNNNNNNNNNNNNNNNNNNNNNNNNNNNNNNNNNNNNNNNNNNNNNNNNNNNNNNNNNNNNNNNNNNNNNNNNNNNNNNNNNNNNNNNNNNNNNNNNNNNNNNNNNNNNNNNNNNNNNNNNNNNNNNNNNNNNNNNNNNNNNNNNNNNNNNNNNNNNNNNNNNNNNNNNNNNNNNNNNNNNNNNNNNNNNNNNNNNNNNNNNNNNNNNNNNNNNNNNNNNNNNNNNNNNNNNNNNNNNNNNNNNNNNNNNNNNNNNNNNNNNNNNNNNNNNNNNNNNNNNNNNNNNNNNNNNNNNNNNNNNNNNNNNNNNNNNNNNNNNNNNNNNNNNNNNNNNNNNNNNNNNNNNNNNNNNNNNNNNNNNNNNNNNNNNNNNNNNNNNNNNNNNNNNNNNNNNNNNNNNNNNNNNNNNNNNNNNNNNNNNNNNNNNNNNNNNNNNNNNNNNNNNNNNNNNNNNNNNNNNNNNNNNNNNNNNNNNNNNNNNNNNNNNNNNNNNNNNNNNNNNNNNNNNNNNNNNNNNNNNNNNNNNNNNNNNNNNNNNNNNNNNNNNNNNNNNNNNNNNNNNNNNNNNNNNNNNNNNNNNNNNNNNNNNNNNNNNNNNNNNNNNNNNNNNNNNNNNNNNNNNNNNNNNNNNNNNNNNNNNNNNNNNNNNNNNNNNNNNNNNNNNNNNNNNNNNNNNNNNNNNNNNNNNNNNNNNNNNNNNNNNNNNNNNNNNNNNNNNNNNNNNNNNNNNNNNNNNNNNNNNNNNNNNNNNNNNNNNNNNNNNNNNNNNNNNNNNNNNNNNNNNNNNNNNNNNNNNNNNNNNNNNNNNNNNNNNNNNNNNNNNNNNNNNNNNNNNNNNNNNNNNNNNNNNNNNNNNNNNNNNNNNNNNNNNNNNNAAAUGACAAGAUAAUGGUGAUGAUUUGUAGGCCACAAAGGCAUGGGAAAAAUGAUGGAAAAAAGCAAGAAAAGGGACCAAAAUACACAAGAUGAAGGCACCGAUUUUCUCUCUCUAUGGGAGCCGAUUUUACAUGAAGAAGCAGCCAUGUUUUUCCUCUUUUUCAUACACAAAUCAUAUACUAAUGGCUACAGUAAAAAGUAACAUAUAUAUAGGGUUAUGUUAGGCUUUAGUUGUCCCAAUAAAGGGUUAAAUAGGUCAAGAUUCAAAGCUAUUCAGUAGAUAAUAUAUAUAGAUCGUGAGUAGCAUUAAUUUUUAAGCUACUUCCAAUUGUCCAUGUUGUUUUCGGAUCAAGCCUUUGGACUUGAUUGUUGAUAAUAAUUCACUCAUUGACCAAUGCUUAUGAAAUUGAAUCCGAUGUUUACAUUGUAGCCCUAAAUUCAUUGAGUGUCAAAAUCCAACACUCUAAAUUGUAGAAUAUGCUCUUGAGUGUAAAACAGACAAAAGUGCUAUAACUAUAUAUGAUAUAUUACAUUACUACUGUAUUCUUUUUGUUUUUAGUUUUCAACUUGAGUACAAAAAAUGAUAUUGCAAACUUGAUGGUAUACUACGCUUGGAUGAUGAGAUUCGAGUAAACAAUCAAGACUGAGCUUGUAAAAUGAAGUACUUACCCUUUGAACAAGGAGUGAGGCACUUCCUAUGUUCUCUGUAUCAAGUCAUAUGGCAAGGGAGCAGAAUGAAUAAUAUGAUAUACAAAGUUAUGUUUAGAUUACAAUAAUCUUAUCUACAUAAGAAGCAACUUAAAAACUGUUUUCUCCACUAAAGCUUCUGAACAAGUUUCUGACGCAGAAAGAAAGGGAAAAAACAAAUUGAAGCUAUGAAAAACAUACAGAAAGAAAGCAUACGAAGAAAAAUUGGGGCUUACAUAUUGUUCCUGCAAAAUUGAUGGAUCAGAAGUCUCAUUGAAGUUAUUGUAAGAAAGAUCUACGUGGCUGCAAAUGCAUUUAAUAUCUCUUUAAGAACUUAUUUCAAUCCUCUAAAAUUAAUGAAAGAAAAGAACCCAUAAAUUACAUAGUGAGAGAUGUCCACCAGUAUGUAGUAACUAAAGUAAAAAUGAGAUUGUUUUCGAACUUAUGAGACUAGUCCUGUAUCUUAAGGUGAGCUUGAACAACAAUUGUAUGUCUAGAUAUAAAGAUGUCAAUAGAGGUCCUGAGAGAAAUGGGAAAAUUCCAUUUCUGUAUAAAUUUGAGGACAUCGUCAUUUAUGAUGGACAAUGCUACUAUUAAAUCACAUAGAUAAUUUUAUAGACGUUAAAUAAUAAGAAAUAUACAAGUGAACUUACAGUUCUUCACUUAUGCUUUGGAUCCACUUUGGAAUUUGCCCACUGAGAAAGUUACUAGUCAGAAACCUAAUCACAAACAUAAAAUCCAAAUGAAAUCAAAAUUAGACAUUUAGAUUACAGGAUAGAACAUCAUGAAAGAACAGAAGUAUGGCCUAGUAGAGUAUAUGAAUGCCACUUGAACACUAAGGAUUGAAUAUGAACUGGACAUCCUUAAGUUUGGUUACAGUGGUCCUUAUUACUUGUUUUGGAAAUAAAAAGUAGGAUUUAGGAUAUGAACAUGAACAAAGUCUUCCAUUAUCACGCUUCAAUGACAGGUGAAUAACAGAGCAAAGCUUUUGUACAAAUCAAUUGAAUAAUAUCAUACUAAUUCACUUACAAGUUCGUUAGACUUGGUAGGCGAUCAAAAUCUGGAACCUCUCCUUUUAAGUUGUUAAAGCUCAGAUCUCUGUGAAUACACCACACGAACAUCUUACGACCAAACGCAUAUUUUCUCAGCUUAACAAUAUGGCAGUGCAUAGUUAUCUUAACAUAGAAAAGUAAACCUAAAUUUUGUACGAUAUCCAGAAAGAAAGAAAAAAGAUGGGCACAAAAGCAAUGGAAGCAUAGGAAAACAUACAAAAAUUACAGGAUUUUCUAAUGUAGAUUGGGAAAAACUAAUGUGGCAAGCUCUUGGAUGGUACGAAACUUCACAAUCUGAAAAUGCACAUGGUACGUCCUCCAUAUUUUUCCAUAGCCAGGUCUCCACCAGAAGUACAUAUUUUAUUACAAGGAGUAGGUUUUUGUGCAACAAAUUCGUGUUUUUGGUCACUAUCUUCAACAAGUAACAAUAUAAGUGUCAAAUAUACUCAAUGAUAAUCAAUAAUACUCGAUGUCCUUCAAUGUGAGAUGUUCUCUUAGUGUAUAAAAUUAAAAUCACAAAUAAAUAUGGUAGCUAUCAAUUAUAAUUAUUCAUUAAUGGUAACUUAUUAAAUAUGGUAGUCCUUAUAUUUCACUAACAUCCCCUCUCAAAUCUCAAAUUGAUGCUUAUUAAUUUGCAAUCAUAAGUUGAUGGUGGCGACAAUGCUCAUGCCCACGAAAAAGAUAUCCAAAUCAAAGUAAUCAUCUACGGAACAUUGUGACAAUGAGAGAGCAAGAACAAUAAAUAGUACAGAAACAUCCAAAAACUACCUCAAGAAUAUUCCAAAACCACUCUAGAGAGUUCACAGCCCAAGAAGAAUUUCAAAAAGAAAUUCAUGAAGUGUACCGAUCACACAAUGAGAUCGGGAGAACUCAGUCAAACACAUAAUUAGUAUUCCAUCAAAAUCUCUAAUGGCCAAUAUACCGGCCAAAAAUCUAGUAAUAUAUCGCUGACCAGGACGCUAUAGUAGGAAGAAAUAUCAGAAAACAGCCUGCACAAAAAAAAAAAAAAAAAAAAAAAAAAAAAAAAAACGCCCCCAAAAAAAAAAAAAAAAAAAAAAAACAAAGAUGAUCUGAGAACCCAAAAUUCUUGCUCGUCACCCAAGCAACUAAAGCUCCACCCAUGUCUCUCUCAUCCUAAUGACCCAUCAAUAUGAUUGCCAAGCUCCUUAUUGGAAGCAAAUCAAGCCACAUCCAUGUCGCCCACAAAGAGAAACCACAAUUUAUAGUCCAUUUGCUCACAACCCAUAACUACCUAGCCCAUUUUUAAUCAAGUUAUACACUCAUGUCCAAAAGCCAAGCCUACUUUCAUCAAAUCCCUAACCUAUUUACAAAGCCUAGAAUAAAAUACUGCUUAUUCAAAAUUGUUGAGGCCCAUAAUCAUCCAUUAAAGUCUUCAAAACCUAACCCAUUCAUCAAAUAAUAAUGACGCCCAAACCAAUAAAGCAGCAGGCCCACCUACAAAUCCAUGACUCAGUGUCUUUUUUUAUCCCAUUCGCUUAAGAAUCUUCAGAUCUCUGCCAAAAAUCCAUUAAUUUUACUCUCAAUAGUAACACUUCCUCUCUUUAAUCUGACAGUCUUGGAUUGAACUGAUACGCAUUUUAUGUGCAAAUUAACAUAGUUUUUUUUUUUUUUGAUAACCCAGGUGUCCCAGCUUAGUCGGACUAAAUCCUGGACUUCUAGCCCCCGGCCCCUCAGUGACUAGUGGAGGUAAAUCGCAGGUUGUGCCCUUGUUGGUUCCCAGGUUCCCACAUAGCUUUUACUCCUUCCCCAAAGGGACCCUCCUCCAUGGUUAUUACAUCACCAAGCUGCUCCAACCCUUCCUCUGGUUAUUACAUCACUUGGCUGCUCCAACCAGGAAUCGAACUCCCCACACUUGGUUCCAGAGCCCCCCAAUGUGAUUGUUCCGCCAACUUGAAUGUGCUCUGGGAGGCACAAAUUAACAUAGUUGCAUUCACAGAAGUGUGAUUGUGUGUGAGAUGGUGUGUAAAGGAUUGUAGAAAAGUAAUGGGGUCUAGGAUAAAAAUCAAAUUCCAAUAAGAAUUCUCUCUGCUUCUCAUGAUAAAGAUAUGUUGGCUGGUGCUCCACCUCAGAAUUCCCAAUUAUUGACGAGCCUCUACACCUCAGAAUUGCUAGCAUUCAACGAGCAAUAUGGUGCUCCAUGGUCGAAUAAUAGCUCUCUCUCAUCUUCAGCAAUUUCUCUGCGUUGAGAGAUCCGGCCCCUGGGUCGUCUAGUGGACUACUGGACUCGAAAAUGGUGACUGAAAUUUCCAUUUUUUCUAGAAUCAAUUGUUCCUGAAAUCCCACUACCUAUGACAGAUUGGAGGCGAUGCUUUACAUGUCAGCAACGGCAGCAAGUAUGCUUGGUUCUGUUCAGUUCAUAGCAAUUUACAUGAUCGAACACAAGGAAUAUGGAUAGGGUCCACAGCAGUGGGGGCAAACUUGUCCUAACCUUUCUCUUCCAAUUAAAUUUUCUCUCUGUAUCGCUUGAAACUCUUCGCAGAUUAAUUGCUUCACUGCUUUGGUGAAGUACUUAACUUAGUUUGGUGGUGAGCACACAAUUCAUCUUUUACCUCACUGUGAACGCCUGAGUAUCAAUAGGAGCGGCAAAACAUAUUUCUUCUGUGCUAAACAAUUAAACUAAAUAUUUCUUAGGGUUAAGUGCUCUCUCCCAAUCUUCAGGUCACUAUUGCUUUGGCUGUUCUACCUUCAGCCACUGUUGAGACGAUUGUCGAUGAUGCAAUUAGAGAGAAAGAAUAGAGAAAUCACUUGAGGAUGAAUUGAGUUCUAAUCCAUAUGAUAUUCGAAUAUACUCAAUCAUAAUCAAUAAGCCCCUCAAUAUAAGAGGUUCUCUCGUUAUAUUGAAAUAUAUAAAAACUAAAUAUUCUAGCUAUCAUUUACAAUUAUCCAUUAAUGGUAACUUAUUAAAUACGGUGGCUUCCCUUAUAUAUGAGCUUUCCUUAUAUUCCACUGACAGAAAUUUCCAAUGCCUCCCAAAUAAAUGGUUAUUUCUAGAAUGAAAGAAGAGGAAAUAAGAACUGUGGUUGUGUUAAAAGUUUAUACAAUUCUUUAACUUUAAAUCUCAUGAAAAAUUAGCUCAUCUAAAUGUGAAAAGAAAACAACUAAAAUGCCAGAGGGAGUCCAGGACUGCGAGCUGCUAGGUAUAUUCUUUUUAAGUAACUCAUAGAGUUGGCAUUUAGUCACGAGAAUAUUGAAACAAUUAUGAUGUGGAGUGUAAUUGUAAAAAGAAGAAAAGAGGUACUACUACUAGAAUCAGUACUUAGAUAGCCUUCAAUGAUCCAAUGCCUGUAAGGUAAUUAGGAAUGCUUCCAGUUAUGUUACAGCUACUUAACGUCCAGCUAGCACGCAACAUAUGUAUAAAAUAAUAUGGUUCUAAAAGAAAUUAUCACAAUCUUCUAAGUUCUUUAUUGAUUUAGUGACAUUUACUCACAAAUACGUAAGGUUUCUCAUGUCUUUUAGCAGUGGGAACUCUGAAGCACCUCCAUUCAAGUCACUAAUAAUUCUGCAGAGAUAUCACAUUACAUCAGUUGUCAUCUUCACCAUCAAUGUAUAGUAAAUGAACAUAAAAUUGUUACUGAAGUAUUGACAAACUGAAAUCUGACUGAAUAGGUUUCAACUCACAGUUCCCUUAAAUUUUUUAAGAUGGAAAUACUAGGAAGUAUGGGUCCUUCAAAACCAUUGCCUUUUAUCACUCUGUUGAAAAUAAAUUAAUAAUGUCACGUAAACAAAAGUCGCAACUGUAAAUAUUGCAGUUCGGAAAAUGCUCAUUCAGGAAAGGACUUACAAGCUCUUAAGGUUUGUCCAGCUCUGAAAAUUAGGUAAUUUUCCAGUGAAGUUGUUACUGAUUAGCCAACUGCAUUGGCCCCGAAAGACAUGUUAUCAUUAAAAUAGCAGAAAACUGUUUGCACUUUUCUAGAUUAAAAAACUUUAUACUUUGAGAAAUGUGUGGUAAAAUACUUACAGAACUAUCAACAUUUUUAGAUUAUUUAAUUCAAUCGGCAACUCACUAGUGAGAUUGUUAUCAUAUAGAUAGCUGCAUUGACCAAAAAGACAAGUUAAACUUACAUAAAUGGGUAAAUUACAGCCACUGUCUCUAACCUUUUGUUGGAGUAAUUUUCAAAAGAAUGCCAUUUAGACAUUGGUAAAUUAAAUCAAGGAAAUACAAUUCAAAAAGUACUUGAUCAAGAUGGGACAAGAACGAGAGACGUAGGAAUGGACAAAAACUUGAGCCAGUUUGCAAAGUAAACUAGUGUAGGUGGGCAACAUGGAAGUGCUCCUGUGCUUCCUAGUUGGCGCAGGUGUGCUGCCAUGUUGCCCACCUACACUAGUUUGCUUGGUUGGCGUAGAUACGCUGCCUGUGCUGGGCAGUCUUGAGAUUAACCCAGUAGCUUUUAGAACUUACUUCUUAGAGAAAGUAAGGAGCAAAAAUGAAUAGGAAAGUUUCUGUGUAUUGAAGAUAAAAGUCACGCUAAUUGUACGUCAUGUGGUUCUUAAAUAUGAAUGGAAAAUACAGCACUAAUUACAGUUGUUUACAGCUGCACACUAACUGAAAAUUUCAACUAAUCUGACUAAUUCUUCAGCUCACUUUCACGUCAGCUUCUUCUGGUAAUCUCAAUAGCCCCCUUCAAGGUGGAGUGUAUAUGUUGCACAUAUUCAUCUUGCGCAGUAGAGAAUGAAAUAGAGAUGCUCCCACUGGUUUUGUCAUAAUAUCUGCUAGUUGAUUACCUAAAGAGACAUGCAUGGUGUGUAAAAUUCCAGCCUUAAUCUUGUCCCUUACUAAGUGACAAUCUCGUUCGAUAUGUUUUAUUAUCUCAUGAAAUAUAGGGUUGACAGCAAUGUGUAAUGCAGCUUGAUUAUCACAAUAUAACAAUGCAGACUUCUCAUGUUUGAUUCCCAAGUCAGCUAGUAGGUAUAAAAGCCAUUGAACUUCGCAUGUAGCAAAUGCCAUAGCACGGUAUUCAGCUUCUGCUGAAGAU